UUUUUUUUUUUUUUUUUGGCCAUAUUUGAGAAAGAUAAAAGAGAUUUUUCGAGAAGAAACAUGGGUGGACCUUUUGUUGUGGGAGGAGGACGUGUGGUUUGAGUUUGCUUCUUGUUUUUUUUUUUAUGACUUAUGCGUGUGGUUGAGUUUAAGAUGGCAGAGCAGACACGGCAAGAGAUGGACCCCACUGGAUCCGAUGCAACGUCGUUUUCAUACGUAAAAGGUUUCGGUCAAAGGAAGAUUCUAUUCCCACCAUUGCAUUUGCAAUGGAGAUAGAGUUAGAAUCAUUUUUGUAUAAAAUUUGCAUGUUGAUUAGAAUGACAUGAAAAAUACUAAUAAUUAUUUUUUUAAUUAUAUAAACCCAUAAAUUAUGGGCUAUCAUGAUUUUAUAUAACUAAUCUUUUUAUACCACAUCAAUUUAUUUUAUAUAAAGUAAUUAUGAAUUUAUCACUACAUCUAUGGUACAAUUUUUCUCCCACUCUUCCUUUUAGAAAAAGAUGGAGAAUGAGAAGAAAUAAGAAACGAGAUUGAAAAAGAGCCAAAAAAAAAAAAAUUUGGAGAGCAGGAGGGGAGUGGACAAGAAGAGACAGAAAAUAAAUUUUAAAUUAGGGUUUAUAUGUUGAACUUCGGAAACCCAUAAUCAUUAUUAUUUUCAGAAUAUAACUGGGGUAAGGCACAAUCAGGGCAAGAUAGUUUUGUCCAUAAUAUUAAUUAUAAUAACACUUUGCAAGAAAAAAAAUUGAAAUUAGUUUGAAACCGAACCUGUAAUUUUAUUAAACAAAUGUGUAGACUCACAGAAUGUAAAUCAGUUUCGUUUAUUUUAUUAAACAAAUGUAUAGAAGCAGUUUCCUUCCAAGCUGCAGAAUAAUCAAUUUCGUAGUGGACACGGAGCAUCAACACAUGCUAAAGUCUGAAUUAUUAAAAAAAAAAAAAAAAUUUGAUCAUUUUGCUGAAUUUAAUUAUUUACAAAGCACCUCACUUUAUAAUUUGUCUAUUUGAUCAUUUUGCUGAAUUUAAUUAACCACUCUUCUUAAAAAAAAAAAAAAAAUUUGAUCAUUUUGCUGAAUUUAAUUAUUUACAAAGCACCUCACUUUAUAAUUUGUCUAUACAGUCAACUCCUCAAACUCUUCAAACCACUCUUCUUGACCACUCCCAUUUUACUUUCUCAACUUUGCUGUAGCUCUGAUGUAUUCUUUGAUAUGUUCUAGAAUUCCUCAUAUAAAACAAACAUAAUUUUUUUUUUUUUUUUAAAGUCCAAAACACAAGCACCAGUUCACAAUUAAAAUAUCAAGAAAUUGAUGACCACUAUGGAUAAAUAUUUUAUAUCAGUUUUUACCGCUUGGGUUUUAGCUACCCUUUUUGUUGCAUCAUCGUCACUUGCACAACAAACCUGUAUUAUUGAGUUCAUUUCUCCACUGGACUUAUGAUCCAUCAACAAACGUUGUUGAUCUUGCUUUCCGCCGCAGCACCCCAUCAUCUCAAUGGGUAGCAUGGGCCCUGAACCCUUCCGGCCAAAGAAUGGCUGGCUCAAAGUGUCACGUGGCAUUUCGGAAUUCAACCGAAGCCAUUCGUGCUUAUACCUCUCCCAUUGGUUCUGGGACACCCACGCUGCAAGAGGGUUCUUUGAGCUUUAGAGUUACAAACAUUACAGCCACUUUGGUGGGAAAUGAGUGGACUAUUUUUGCCAGUUUGCAUCUCUAUAGUGAUUUGUUAUCAACCAACCAAGUUUGACAGGAAGGUCCAAUGAAUGGAAACAUUCCUGGCAGCAGGCAUCCUAUUACUGGAGACAGCGCGAGAUCAGUUGGAACCAUUGAUUUUCGGACAGGACAGAUUGCAUCAAAUGCCGGAGAUUUCGACUCCAGACAAAGGAAAAGAAAUGUGAGUGCUUGAUUGACAGAGUUUUUGAAUUUUUAUUUGAUGAUGAUUACAUUUCGCAUGCCUUGCUUAAGCUGCAAGUUUCACCAAUUUUUAAGGUUCAUGGGGUUCUAAAUGCGUUGAGUUGAAGCAUUCUAAUGCCAAUGGGGGCUAUGAUGGCCAGAUACCUUAAAGUGUUCAGGUUUGGAAACCCAGCAUGGUUUUACCUUCAUGUUGCUUGCCAAGUUUCGGCCUACAUCAUUGGUGUUGCAGGAUGGGCAACUGGCAUCGAUCUUAGCAGCGGAAUUAGUUCACUGAAUCGCGAUUAUAUACAUAGAAACAUUGGCAUUGCCCUAUUCUUCCUUGCGACAGUUCAGGUGGAUACUAAUAACUCACUUUUCGUUUAGCAUAUUCAGUUAUUUACUUGUUUGCUAAGCUUCUUAUAUUAUUUGCAGGUGUUUGCAUUGCUUUUGAGGCCAAAGCCAGAUCACAAGUACAGACUGUAUUGGAAUGUCUACCAUUGGGCUGUUUGGCUAUGCUAUAAUUGUUACGAGUGUGUUUAAUGUGUUGAAGGGUUUAAGCCUUUUGGAUCCUGAGAUUCAAUGGUGGCAUGCAUACAUUGUCACUGCCAUAUCAUCGGGCAUCAUCUCAGCUGCUUUGGAAGCAAUUACAUGGACAAUUGUUGUAAAGAGGAAGAAGGCAAAUGAAGAGAAGCAAAAUCAGAGAACCAAUGGAGUAAAUGAAGCAAAUGGUCAUGCUGCCAGGACAGUACGGCUAGAGCCAGAGGUGUAGUUUAAUGUGUAAAUUGUAAUAGAAGUUUCAGUUUGUGAGGAGAGGAGUGUUGCUGGAGAUUGAAAUUCUUCACUGCAAAUAAAGAUGCAAGACACCGUUGUCAAAGUGUAUUUGUAUUUCAUUCUUUUCAGUAAAUUUCUUCCUCCUCAUUCUUUAAUUUAGAGCUUGGAUUAAGUUUUGGUGAUGGUAACUCCUUUAAGCCUGAAUUUUAGUUUGAGUUUCGCUUGGCUUCUUAAAUUCUUAGUGAAAAGUGAAAAUGCUUUCACAUCUACAAGUUUUGUAUUGCAGCAUAUGUGGUGCUUUUUUAAAUGAAAUUACCAAAUUAGGAUAUACUAUGUCGAUUUAUAUCAACUGCGUCCCCGACCCAGUGACCCUAUACUAAAAUAUUCCCUUCUUGAAAUUGUGAUGGUUAAAACACAAGAUUACUUGGGUAAAUUAGUCAUUUGAACAUAAACUAUGGAAUAUUUUAUACAAAUGGAAAAUUAUCUCUACGGUAUUCUAGUUUCCAACUAUUAAUUUUAAUGCAGAGUUAUUGAAAGUCACUUGCCCUUGGUCAGAGCUGCUACCCGCAUAAUGCGGGGGACUCAGUUAAACCCCUCACAAAUACAUUGUGGAGGAUAAUUCUUUCCUUAAUUAUAUUACAGAGUUAAAUAGAUGUAAUUUCCUCCCUUACGAAAUAUAAAUAAAGUAGAUGUCUUCGAAUAUUAAUGAAAGUAAAAAAUUUGUAAUCAUCAUCAAAUUACAGCCACUUUGGUAUCAUCAUCAAAGACGAGAGAAAGUGUAUUGAAAAGCCACUUUGGUAUCAUCAAUUUUAUCGCAGAAUUAUUGUCAGUCACUUGAUCUUGCUCAGAGCUUCUACCCCCACAAUGUGGGGUCUGUAGUUAGAGCGCCUACAAAUGCGUUGUGAAGGUUAAUUCUUUUCUUAAUUAUUUUGUAUACUUAAAUAGAGGUAGUUUCCUCUUUAUAAAAUGUGAAUGAAAUAGAUGUCUCUCGAAUAUUAGUAAGGUAAAAAAUUUGGACAGAUUUAAUGUAAAUUAGUACCAAUAAUAGUUUGAUUGUAAAUAUCAAUAGUAAUAAUGAAAACUAAUCUCAGUAAUAGUCUAAUAAUAAAUAUCAGUAUAAAUCUCAUGAAAUAUGAAUUAUAAUCUUAUUGUAAUCUCAAUGUAAAAAAGAAAAAAAAUGCACAGUUAUUGGAAGGGCUCUCCCAUAUUCUUUAAUUAUUUACUUUUCUUUCACGCUAAAUAUAGAUUUGAUAAUCUCACAUAAAGAGAAAAUGCAAAUUCAAUUUAUCUUAUAUUCCUCAAGAGGCAUAAAAAAAUUAAGAAAAGGUAAAAAAAAUUACUGGGUCCGAUUAUUUCUCAAAAUUUUCCCCAAAAAAUUUUCCAUACCUUAAACCAAAAAAGAGAAGACAAGAAGAAAUAACUUAAAAAUAAAUUCUUUUUCAAAAUUCUUUUCUUAAAAAAAACUAACUCCUCGAGUGAGCAAUAUUGACCCGGCUGAGGGCCUGAGGAAGACACGUUCUCACAUUUUUUAAAUUUAUACCAUUUCUUUUUUCUUUUUAAUUUCAUCCUUCAUUUGAUAACUAGUGAAUACUAUUUUAUAGCUUGGUCAAAAAAUAGUGAGACCAAAGCUUCGGUCAAUGAAGAAUUUAGGCAGCACGAUUAUGCAUCAAGAUGAAUUUAAGAAACUAUACAAUAAUUCUGUCUAGAGUUCUGGUCAAAAGGUAACUAUGACUGAAGAAAAAUACAAAACAUAUUUACUUACGUGACAUGUCACACUAUUGAAUUUUAAAAAUCAUAUGCUAGCAAUUCACGUAACAAUAUUUUUAAUCAGGGCAAUAUCUUAUUCUUUAGUUGUACCAAAUAAAUUUCCAAAUUUCAGAAUUAAAUUAGGUGUAUUGUUAGUUGAAAAUUUCGUACAUGCGUUCACCAAUUAUGCCAACCUUCUUCUUAUCAUGACGUGUGUGCAGGUGGUCAUGGGAAUACAGACCAAUUUUUUUUUGGAAAUUUGAUUGAUGACCAAGAAAAAGAAAAAAUUAUAAAUAAAAAAAAGCAAGUGUGAACAAAGAGAAGAGUUGGAAAAUGGAGACUCAGCUUGAUCUUUCAAAAGUUAAGAAAAAUAACUAAACAAAGACUUGGAAAAAGAUUCACCCAUCAUCUGGACUUUCUUGCAUGCUUCCAUUACAGAGUUGUUAGAGGAAUAAGUCAACAAUGACAAAGCCUUUUGAACCCAUAAAAGAAAAAAGAAAAAAGAAAUAUAACUUCUAUAAAUUCUAACAUCUGUGUUACACAAACCGCAGACUCUUCAUUUGGAAACAUUUUGCCUUGGGAAAACACUUCCAGUGCUUUCGGGAACUUGUUUUCAUUUCAAGGAUUUGAUCUGCUUCCUCUAGAUCAACAUGGUGAACAAAGCUAUAGCAUGUGCUUUGUUCUUUAGUUUCGUUGCUGCUCUUUUUGCUUCAUCAUAUGCACAACAAACUUGCGGACGCCAGGCUUUCAACAACAACAAAGUAUACAGUACAUGCACAGAUCUUCCCGUGCUGAAUUCAUUUCUCCACUGGAAUUAUGAUCAGUCAACAAACACCGUCGAUCUCGCCUUCCGGCACACGACCACGAGCUCAUCCCGAUGGGUGGCAUGGGCACUGAACCCAUCAGGCCAAAGAAUGGCAGGCUCACAGUGUCUUGUGGCCUUUCAAAACUCAACUGGGCGUCCCGUGGCUUAUACUACUCCUAUUGGUUCUGGCUCGCCGACGCUGCAACCGGGUAGUUUGAGCUUCCAAGUGCCAAAUAUUUCAGCCACUCUUGAGGGAAAUCAAUGGACUAUUUUUGCAACUUUGCAGCUUACUAACAAUUUGUUGUCAACUAACCAAGUUUGGCAAGAAGGUCCAAUGAACGGUGAUACUCCUGGCGCCCAUGCCAUGAGCGGUGAUAAUGCAAGAUCAGUUGGUACCAUUGAUUUUAGAACCGGACAGACCACAGCAGGUGGUGGAAGCUCCGACUCCAGGAGAAGGAGGAGGAAUGUAAGUGCUGGAUUCAAACAUAUUUCAAUUGAUCAAUUCACUGGUUACAUGUACAGAGCCCUUAAUUCUUAUACAUAUUCAUUUACAUAUGUUCAUCACCAUCAAUAUCAUCUUCAUCUCAACUUAUAGGGUUGGUCGGAUUUUUAUGAUUGGCAUGUGCUGCAUAAUUUUGAAAUUUCAAUUAGGUUUGAAAACUUCAUGCAGGCAGCUGGCUUGAGACAAAUACGGUUUUUCAUUCUAAUAUCUUGACUAGUAGUUUUGAUGUAUUUGUGCUUUUCUAGAAAUGGGAAAUCUAUCCCAUGGUUGAAAAAAAAAUAUGUAUAUAUCUAUCUAUCUUUCCAUCUAUCUAUGUAUACACACACAGCGAAGCAAGUAGAUCGGCAUCUUUCUAUUAAGCAAGCUCAAUCUUGAUAACCGUAUUGGCUACAUAUCUAUUCCUAGAUUGGGUUUUAAAUGUGAUUGCAUUGAUUUUGCAGACUCAUGGAGUACUAAACGCAGUGAGUUGGGGAGUUCUCAUGCCAAUGGGAGCCAUGAUAGCUAGGUACCUUAAGGUGUUCAAGACUGCAAAUCCAGCAUGGUUUUAUCUCCAUGUUGCUUGCCAAGCUUCUGGCUAUAUUGUUGGCGUUGCAGGAUGGGGAACUGGUAUCAAGCUUGGAAAUGAUAGUCCUGGAAUUAAGUAUAAUAAACACAGGAACAUUGGCAUUGCCCUCUUUGCCAUUGGAACACUUCAGGUAACUAUUCUUUCUUUCUUUUUCCCCGCUCUCGUAAUCAUUACCUAACUUGUCUUCUCAUUAUCGUUGUUGAAUUAUUUAUAUGUUGUUGAAACUUGACAAUUGGACAACGUGAAUCUCGGUCAAUUAUUUGUGCUGGUCAACUUUAAUAUUUAUGAGGCGAAGCAUAAAAAAAACAUUCAACAAUUAUUGUGCCAAAGUCAAGAUCUAUGUGCACAUUCUAGAAUCAUCAACUUUUCUUCACCAACUCUGUUUUGGGCAGAGUAAUUUACCCAUUUGCCCAAAUAGCCUAAUACUUGCUAGGAAUGUCAAGUUACCUCUGCCUCAAGGCUUCUGUCAAUAUAGUUUUGUGACAAUUUUGCCUGCUUGAUAUGCAGAUGUUUGCAAUGCUUUUGAGGCCAAAACCUGAUCACAAAUACAGACUAUAUUGGAACAUCUAUCACUGGAGCCUGGGUUACAGUGUCAUAGUCCUGAGCAUUAUCAACAUCUUUGAAGGCUUCGAUAUCUUGGAUCCUGAAAAGAAAUGGAAGAGGGCAUACAUUGGCAUUCUCAUAUUCCUGGGCGCUGUUGCUGCUCUGUUGGAAGCCAUAACUUGGGUUAUUGUUUUAAAGAGGAAAAAUGGCAAUUCUGUGAAACACCAUCACAGCAUUAAUGGAGCUAACGGAGCCAAUGGCUAUGGUGCCAGAACACAGCAGGGGGCUUAGUUUGUGUAUACUAUACUUUCUAGGAUUUCUGCUAUUGUGUUAUACCAUUUAUUCUUUUCAGUCCUAUAUGUCAUCGGCGAGAGUAUUUUAUUUUUUGUUGUGUUGUUACUCAUACUUAGAUAUUUGUGAGGAGACUGCUAUAUUUUGGCAUAGCUAGGUUGUAAUUUUUUUUUAUGUAUACACACUUAUGGACAGCGUUUAAAUUUACUUUCUUCUUGUUUCUUCUUGACUAUUAUUAUAUCCCAGUAAAACUUGAUGUGAAUGUUAAGAAAAUGUCUAGUUUUUUAUAAACAUUGACAAAUAACAACAGCAUAUCCUGAAGCAGUUGUUUGGAAAAGCUCUGGCAAUCCAUAUCAAAUCCAAUGCGGUCUAUGAACUUUAUUUACACAGAAAAAUUAUGCCCGUAUUCUUUUACACUUUCCUAAACAUACACUGAAAAAAAAAAGCAUUUAGGUAUUAUACAAUAAUGGACAAAAUAAAUAAGCAUAUAAGAAUUAACUUGGACUAGUCUCGCCAUCAUCGUCAUCCCCAUAGGUGGAUGGGGUCUCAUUUAGAUCCAAAGUAGCAAUCUCUCUGAUAACCAGUGAUUUGUCUGCUUCGAAUUGUUCGUUCACUGUAGCAAAACAUAAUUUAGUAACACAAUCACAAUUCAAAGGAAAAAGUUCUAAGAAUUUCAUAUUCGUAAACAAAUGUCAUCUACCUUUAUCAAUAUUGAAGUCACUAAAGAAACGGAGUAACUUGCUCCUAUUUGCAAUCAGGACACUGAUGAUCUCGGGAGGUUUAUUUUGAUUUGCAACGAACAGCUAUCAAUAAUAAAAAGGAGAGAAUGAAAGUUUCUCCACAUUAGAUCAAAGGCAAUAUUUUGCAUUUUGCAAUAUCCAGAUAGGUCACGGUUAUGUACUAUACCUUGAAGACAUGAAAGCUUUCAAACUGUAUAUUUUUGUUCGAGUCCUGCAAAUUGGUGAACUGGAUGACUUAUAAUGAAAAAAUUGCACAAAAAUCAUCCCAAAACAAACAGGGAGAGAGAGAUAAUACCCUCAGAAGAUUCAUAAGGAUCCUCAUGUUAUCCAAUGAGCUCACAUACUUAACCAUAACAGCAGAAUUUGAACGAUCUAGCAAAAUAUCUCCCAGCAGCUAAGACGUAUAGUAGAAUGUCAGCAAAAUUAGUACUACAAAUGUUUUCUUUUUAUAAAUUAAUUGAUUCCUUUUGGUUUGGGCUGAUAGAUUGAGGUGGUUAAAAUUUAAAGAGAAAUGUUUUCUUUUUCAUUUUUUUUUGAUAAAAAAGAGAAAUGAAUCAGUGAGGUGAAACAUUCCAUAUUGACAUUCGAAACAAAAUGCAAAACUGCAGAGUUCAUGAUGGGAUUCUUCUGCUACAAAGAAAACAAAUGCAUGCUGAUUAGAACACCUAAAAUGAUUGAACAACUAAAUGUGAUGUUGUCAAUGGAAACUUUUAGAGGUAAGUAGUUCCUUUUAUCAAAGACAGAGCAUUGUUGUUCUAUACCUUGACAGCGUGCCGCUUGGUGAUAUAACUAGAAGAUUCCAGCAAUUGUGAAUUGUAUUCUUGAAAAAACUGGAACCAAAAAACAAAUUAAAAGGCUUCAGAUAAAGAUCAGGAAUCUCUAACAAGUACCAAAAGGGGCAGUGUUCGAGACUUUUGAGUCAUCUAAAAAUCUAAGUUCUUUCUCUAGCAAGAAACUUGAAAGCGAGUAGGGGCCAUUGCUGUGCCAGCAACAAGUCCUAAAGAAAUGCAAACUUUAGCAUAAAGUUCCCAUGGAUCAAUCAAUCAUGAAUGAUAUUUACGAGAUCAAUUUCCAGAUAUGAAUAGCAUGAAGAUAUCUGUCACUCAACCAUGGCCUCAGGAAUUGUUGAAUUUUGAAUCAACAUGCUAAAAUGGAAUGUAAUAAUCAUUUAUUAAAAAAUAAAAAAAUUGUACAAUCAUCAGCCCAAUAUGCAUUUAUUACCAGAAUUAGUUAUCACCAAAGAUGAACAUCAGCAUAACACAACAGAAAUAGACAAUUACUCCAAUGCUUACCCAGUCAUAAUUCUUAGACAAAAAUUCAGCAACAGUUGAUUUAUGCCUUGUCAAAAGCUCCUGUGUAAAUCUUCGUGCUAUCAGAAUUCAUGCUUGUAGUAGUUGUAUCAAAAUAGGAGGGUAAAAAAAAAAAAAAGCAUAGCAUAAGCAUGAUAUGAACAGUUCAUAAAGGUUCAGGAAAGUACAUUGUUCUCUCCUAUACUUUCAUAUAAAGUACAAAAGAAAAUUAAAAAAAAUUAUAUCUGUCUUAAAGAAUUGAGUUUGAAAAAGAAUACUAAGAAUAAAGUUGUUUUAAGUCAGUGCUACUAACUUUAAAAGUUGCUUGGGCAUCUGAGGCUAUGUCAAAAUUUGGAAUCUGUAGGAAGCUGAAGAACUUCUUCAUAUGCUCAGAUUCCAGCACAUAUCUGUCAAAUCAAACAAAUUUAAUUAACAACAAAAUGUCGACAAGUGACAAGGAAUAAGUCCGUGUCUAGCAAGUCCUUAACCUUCAGUAGCUCAUCAAAUGAGCAUUAACAUUCGUAGACAAGAGCGUGAAUAGUGUACACUAGACCAAGAAUCAUUUUCCAACAAUCAUAAAAGAAUCGAAUUCCUGUUGAUUAACUUAUGGUUUGUGAAAUAUUCAUUCAAGAAAGAUUUUCAAUACUGGUUAAGAUAACAUUUAACAACUCAAACUGAACUAAGUUGCUUACCUUGCAACACUUUGAUGACGAAUGCACUCCCUUGCAAUAGCACCGUAAGUCAAAGCAACAUCCCCAUCUUCAUAACUGAUGAAGAAAAACUGUAAAUUACUCAUCCAAAAUCCUAUGUCUCAUGAGCAAUAUAACACUAUUCAUUGAACAUACUUAAAGGAAGAAAACUUACUCAAGAAUCAAAGUAUCCAUAAUAUCGAAGUUUGCUUCUAAAUACGUACAGGCAAUCAACUUUGUGUCAACCCUUUGCCUCUGCAAAUUUGCAACCACAUGAGUCGCAUCUCGUCGAGGCUGCAAGCGAAAAAUGCUCAUGAUCAUGACAUCAAACCACAAAAAACCCACAUGAUACUAAUUAGAGAAAUAGAUUGACUUUAGACAUCAAUCAGUGAAUUGUUAAUAGGAGAUUAGAUAUAAAACCAUCCCGAUUAGUUCAUUUAGAGCUUACCCCCAUUGCUAAUUUUGGAAGAGAAGCUAUGAGAAGACGGAGAGUAUCUUCUUUGAAGAAUUCACGGGUCAAUUGUUCACAAGCAUCUGCAUUUGGCUCCGACUGAUCAGAGCCAAAAAGAACUGUCCUCAUCUCCAAUAAUAGUUUACUUAGCUCAGACAUCUGUACCACAAAUUCCAAACUAAAUACAUAUUUUCUAUAUAAGUUAAACAAUAAAUACAAAAUUAAAACUUUCUCGCAUUAGUAUCCAUAGCAGCUCUAGGGAAAAAGGAGCCCAAAAAAAAAAAAAUCCAUUGUAUUUUAUUUAAAAUUUUAAUAUUUAUCAAUAGAAAUAACUUAUAGCAAGUUCUAAAAUUUGCAGUCAUUUACAUUGCAUGCGUAAGGUUUGUUGCACCAACAAGAGGGGGGAAAAAUCAAUUUAUUUUAAACCAAAUAAAAACAACAAAUUGAAAAUACCAACAAAAAAAAAUUUCCAAGCAUGUCCCUCCUUAUGAUCACCAUAUCAAUAUUACAAACAUAAGCCAUUAAUUUUUUUCAAAAAGAAAAAAUAUUUUUUUAAAAAUAAUGAUAAAAAUGAACCUUUUCUUCGCGCUUCUUCUCGCGGGUCUCGGUGGUACGGUUGGCGUAAAGAAGAAGCUCGCGAGUGAGUUUGACGAGCUCGACGGGCGUCUUUGGCUUGGGCUUGAACAGGCCUUUCAUUUUCUUCUUCCAAAAUGCAGACCUCCAAAACAAUAAUUUUUUAAAAUUUAUUUUCUUUUCUUCAUCUCUUUAAUUAAUAAAUUCUUUUUUUUUUUUUUUAACUAUUUCUAUUUCUUCUUCAGGAUUGGAUUAUGUAUUAGGGUUUUAGAAGAGGAGAAACUUCAGAACCCAAUCCGCAAAAUGGGAUCAUGGAGAAGAAGAAUUGCAGUUUCAUGCAAAAACCAUGAAACAACAACAGAAGCUCGCUGCUCCCAUACAGCAUGAUGAUUGGUUAUAAAUAGAGAGGAUUAUUUUACCACUCUCAUCCUUCUGCGCGUGUAGUAUACUCUCUGUUGAAUGGAGACACGUCAGCGUGAUUUCAGAGGCGGUUUCUUCUGAUUUGAGAGCGCGUAACACAGCGGUCAAAAUUUGAGUUUUAACCUCAAAUGAGUUCGUAUUUGUGGUUGGUUUACAGUCAAUAAACAAACGAGGACAAUAACUAUUUAUUUUAACUCAAUCGGCUGGUUGACACGUGUUAUUAUAAGAUUUUAUUUUAGGUAAAAUUUCUCUUUAGAAUAAAAUAAAAGAAAAUUCCACUUUUUGGUUCUUUUUCCCUAAAUACCAGAUUUUCAGAACUUUGAAAAUUCUAUUCAAAUUCUUAUCGUUAAAAUCUGGAAUUCGGGAUCUUGAUAUCUUUAAAUUGAUUGUUAUAUUUUUUUGCAAUGGCGAAUUUCCUCAUUUAAUGGUAGAAAAUUGAGUCAAAAUACCUGAAUUUUUUUAUUUUUUUUGCAGCUGAAAAAAUAAAAAUAUUUGCUUUUUAUUUUUUAUUCUUCUUUUAUGAAUGCCUGAAAUCCUGAAGGUUACCCAUACUGGAUGAGAGGGUCCACCUGGGUACCGUCCACCAAAAUUUGUUUUCUAUUGGUAAAUGUCAUUUGGAACCUUGUACUAUUUCUAAUUUAUAAUUUGUUUAUAAAUAUUAAGAUAAAUUAUGUUUACGUCCUUUUUAAAAAAAUCUUUUUUAACCAAAUUAAAUAAUCUCUCUCUUUUUAUAUUGUAAACCAUUUGAAAGUUUUGCUUUUUGCUUUUUUAUUUAUUUAUUUUUGGAUUCAAAUAUUUUCCUUGUUUAGUUUUUCUUAUAAAUGCACAACUUCAAUUAUCAACAAUUUUUCUUUUACUCCAUGGGAAUUAGAUUUUUUUUAAAAUAUUUCUUUUUUAAUCCAAAAUCCCUCUUAAAAAAAAAAAUAUCAAAAGCCAAUCGGAAUGGAGGCUACACCUACACUUAAUUGAUAUAAACUGCCACGAUACAUCAAUUACUCUAUAAUUUCUUAUCACAUGCAAUCUAUAUAUAAUGCCUUUUCUCUUUUUUUUUUUUUUGGCUUUCUAUUUUAUAUUAUAAUUUAAGUUAGUAGAAAUGAAUGUUUUAAGAUGGCUUUCUAUUUUAUAUUAUAAUUUAAGCAAUCUAUAUAUAAUGCCUUUUCUCUUUUUUUUUUUUUUUAGUAGAAAUGAAUGUUUUAAGAGAGAGUUAGUAGAAAUGAAUGUUUUAAGAGAGAGUCUGCUGAGAAAUUUUUUCAGAGAGAAAAAUUGGAGAGAGAAAUCUUUCUUCUUAAAUCCUAAUACUUCUUUAACUGCUGUAUAAUUUUAUUGAAUAUUUUUAUUUGAUGCCAUAUUUAGUUCCACAUUUGAAUCAAUUUUUAUUUGAUUGAUGAAAUAAAUCCUGAUACGGCUAAACAAAUUACACAAAUCAAGUUUGUUCAAUCAAUGAUAACUAAAAUUUUAUUUUAAUAUUCUUAAUUAUUGUUAUUUAUAAAUAACUACCAUGAGUUUAUUUAGAAGAUUAUUAUUUAAAAUAUUUUUGUUUUAUUUUAUUUCUUUCCUUAACAACGACCAUUUUUUUUUUUUUGGUAAUGAAAAGUUAUGUUUGUAAUUAGGAAUAGCAAAAAAGACUGGGCUGGUCUUAUUCAUUCCUACGGGCUUUGGCUCGGGCCUUUCGCAUGAGGGCCUGGACAAUAGUUUAGGAAAAAAAAAACCCGAGCCCCCAAGCCCUCUAAUUAAAAAAAAAAUAAAUUUAUAAAUUAGAAUAAUAAAUUCAAAUAUGAAAAAUACUGGAAAAAUAUAAAAGAAAGCUUUAAUUCCUAAUUUAUAUAUCAAUAAUGAAUCAAAAUACUUAAAAUUGUAAUACAAAACUUUUUUUUAAAUAUUAAUUAAUUAAGAGAGUUCGUGAAUUAGAGAAUUCAUGAAUUAGAGAAUUCAGUAAAAAGAAAAUAAAUUUCUAAACUUUUAUUUAUUUCAUUUUAUUUAUUUAUUAUUUUAUUUUUGAAAUAUUUAUUUUCUUUAAUUCAUUGUUAAUUAUAACAACUUGAUUAGGGAUAGCAAUGGGGCAUAUAUGGGUUGGAUCUACCCUACUCCAGAUCCAGAUCCACAAUAAAAAUCAAAAUCCGUAUCCGCUCCAGAUCUGUCAUGAAUCUAUAUUUUUCGUUCCAUAUCCAAAUCUAAAAAAUAUAUAUAUCUAUAUAUGCUCCAAAUCCAAAAAGAAAUUAAAAUUCAAAUAUGUUCUAGAUCCAUCAUUAAUUCUAAAACUCAGCAAUAAAAAGUAAUAAUUUUUUAGAAUAAAAAAUGAAGGUUAAAAUGUAUUGAUAACAAAUAAAUUAUAUAAUUUUUCUCAAAAAUAUAAUAAAUAUUGUAGUUUAUACUUUUAUACCAAAACAACAAAUAAGAAAAAUAAUAAAAUAUCAUUCAAAAGUAAUUGCAGGAGUAAGAUCAAUCUAAUAUUUUAUUGUCUUCUUUAUCAUUAUAAUAUCCACAGCACACCCAGUCUCAUUCCUACAACAUUAGAUAAUGACAUAUAAAUUAAAUAUAAUUUAUAUUCAAUGCUUUAUUAUUUUUAUUAUGACCAUAUUUGACUAAAUAUAUGAAUAAUUAUAUUCCUUAAAAAUUAUUUGGUCAAUAUAAUAAAAUAAAUUGCUAGGCUGUAUUACUUGGCUCGCAAUUUGAAUAUUGCAUGUACAUGCUUUGGGGCUGACUGACCUUUAAAUUUACAAAACUAACCUUUAAGUUUUAAGAAUUUAAAUGAAUGAUAAAUACCACUAAUAUGCUAUGAAUAAAAUUUAUUAUCAUUCUAAUUCCACAAUUGCUAAGCUCCACAAUUGUUAAGAAACUUUUAAAAUAAAUAAAAUACAAUAAACAUAUGGGUGGAUAUGGAUAUGGAUUUAGAUAUUAAGAUAUAUCCAGACUUACUCAAGAUCCGUCUUAUAUCCGCACAUCAAUAUCCAAAUUCGAUCCAAAUUCAUUUUAAACUGACAUAAAUUCGAUCUGAUUGGAUUUGGAUCACGUGGAUAUUAGAUCAAAUCCAAUCUAUUGCCAUCCCUAAACUUGAUUAUUAUUAACUCAUUUAAAGUUUACAACAAUUUAAAAAAAAAUUUAAAAAAAUAAGUAAAACAAGUUCAAUCCAAGCAUGCAGUUAACCUGACCCAAACCCUUGUCCUUACACUUUAGCUCAGGCACAAGCCCUUCAAUUACCAACCCUAUUUGUAACUCGAAUAAAGCUACGCGAUAUGCUUCACGAAAGAUUUCAAAUUUCAAUGCGGAUACAAUGUUAUGGGCUGUAAAAAAGAUUUCAACUGUAUUGGAUCGGGAAUGUAUUUCCCAAAAUGGGCCGAAUCCAAACUCAAUGAAAUUCGGGUAGAAAAAACCCACCCGAAUUAAGAACAAACGACCUCAUCCACAUAACAAAGCAAGACAACAUCUGUUGUUUGGUUAAGAGGCCGUGAGGCGCCGGCAACCAUGUGGUUCAUUGUCCAGAGAAUGGCCACAGCUUCUCUCUUGUCAUCUUCUUUCUUCAUCUCCAAGCCUCCGUCACCAUCCUCACUCUUUUUUCACUUGCCUGUAAAGCAAUUCGUUUCGAGCUCAGCCCAGUUCAGGCAAAGAUAUGGGGCGGUGGUCUCUGCUACUUCAGUGGCCACUGAGCCAGCUGAGACACCAUCCGUGACUCAAAACGGCAAGGUGGAGCAGGCCCAGAUGACUUCUGAGACUGAAAAAGUCGUGCUUCCCACUAAUGAGUCCAAUGAGCAGCUCUUGAGAAUUCGCCACACGGUGAGUUUUGGUAUUUGUGAAGAAAAAGGAGAUUUAAUUUGAAAUUUUAAUAUCGUAUAUGAUCCUGUAGCUUGGUUGUUGGGGUUGAAUUGUUGUUACUUUUAAUCCAUAGCUGGUGUAAAAUGAAAUCAUUAGCUGUUGGGUUUAGCUGUUUCUGUUUAAUAAGCAUUAGCUAUCAAGUAAAAUGAGUGUUCAGGUAUUACUUUAUCUGCUGUGUUUCAAAAUUAAGCCGCAGGGAAGCUACAUAAAUGCUCUUAUUAGUCUUGCAAUUUAAUUUUUUAUCAUUUCAUUGAAUUCUUUAAAUUACUUUGAGGAGCUUCUUUUGGUGUAUGAACUGAAAAAUUUUUAUGUACUCAAUUUUGCUUUUUUUCUGGCUAAGUGAUGUUGUUUCUGGUCUAGUGUGCUCAUGUGAUGGCCAUGGCUGUUCAAAAGCUAUACCCAGAUGCAAAAGUGACAAUAGGGCCUUGGAUAGAAAAUGGGUUCUACUAUGAUUUUGAUAUGGAGCCUUUGACUGAUAAGGAUCUGAAGAGGAUCAAGAAAGAGAUGGUGAGUACACUUGGUCCUUCAGUAGUAAUGUUGUUGUAGAUUUCGAGUGUAGGGGAAGGUCAUGAGAUUGGGAAAAUGCUUAUUGGCCUAUGAUUUCAGGGUACAGAAUUUAUUUCUUACAUCAUCUGUAGGAUCGCAUCAUUGGUCGAAAUUUACCACUUGUGAGAGAAGAAGUCUCCAGAGAUGAAGCUAAAAGCAGGAUAAUGGCUAUUAAAGAACCUUACAAAAUGGAGAUUUUGGAAAGUAUCAUAGAGGAUCCUAUCACUAUCUAUCAUAUUGGUAUUUUCUAGCUCUAUUAUUAGAUUUAUUACUCUAUUUUGUUAUUACCAUCAUUAAUAUAGCUGUUAGAUUCUUCUGUGAUUUGGUUCUGCAUUUUGGAAUUUUUUCUAUGCGAACUACAUUGUAAAGUCUAGGUUGUGAUUAUAGAUAUUGAUUUAUGGUUUCAUAUUUGCUUAGUCGUUAAUAUUUGUGCUAGUUUAAAGUCGUUCUAACAAUGCUGCUACAGGCUGAUUCUCUUUUAUUGUUUAUAUAGUGUUCCAUCCUAGGUGACCAGGGUAAUAAAGUGGAAUGAUUUUGAGGGGAAUUCAAAUUUACAAAAAUUUUAAUUUUGUUUGUUCUCCUAAGGUGAGGAAUGGUGGGACCUUUGUGCUGGACCUCAUGUCGAAACUACUGGUAAAAUAAACAAGAAAGCUGUUGAACUUGAGUCUGUUGCGGGGGCAUACUGGAGAGGAGAUGAGAAAAAACCAAUGCUGCAGAGGAUCUACGGAACAGCAUGGGAGAAUGAAGAACAGUUAAAAGCUUACCUUCACUUUAAAGAAGAGGCCAAACGCAGGGAUCACAGGCGCCUUGGCCAAGAUCUUGAUUUAUUUUCAAUACAGGUUGCUUUCUUUCAAAACUGAUAAUUGCUAUAUUGCAUACUAUAACUGUAUAUAACGGAUAUGAUUUUGUGAAGGAUGAAGCUGGUGGAGGUUUAGUAUUUUGGCAUCCAAAGGGUUCAAUUGUUCGGCACAUCAUUGAGGAUUUUUGGAAGAAAUCACAUAUAGAACAUGGUUAUGAUUUGCUAUAUACUCCCCAUGUGGCCAAGGCGGACCUCUGGAAGAUUAGUGGUCAUCUGGACUUCUACAGAGAGAAUAUGUAUGAUCAGAUGAACAUUGAAGACGAACUUUAUCAGCUCCGUCCCAUGAAUUGCCCUUACCAUAUUUUGGUUUACCAGAGGAAGCUUCAGUCAUAUCGUGAUUUUCCAAUCCGGGUUGCUGAGCUGGGAACAGUAUAUAGAUACGAGUUGUCUGGAAGCUUACAUGGCCUUUUCCGUGUAAGAGGUUUCACCCAGGUAAGUUUAUACACAUUCUUAGCUAUGAGACAAGGUAGAAAUGGUUUGCCUUAUAAUUUUGCAUCAUUUGUCUGACACUAAGGGUAGCUUUGUGUGUAUAUGAUUCUACAUGUUUUAGUAUAUUGUUCACUAUAUUUAUAGUUCUUGAAUCAAGGUAAGCAGAAUGAAAUUCACCCUUUUUGCUCUUGCAGGAUGAUGCUCACAUAUUUUGUUUAGAGGAUCAAAUAAAAGAUGAAAUUAGGGCUGUUUUAGAUCUUACAGAAGAGAUAUUACUACAAUUUGGUUUCAACAAAUAUGAAGUGAACCUCUCAACUAAACCAGAGAAAGCUGUUGGAGGUAAUGAUAUAUGGGAGAAGGCAACAUCUGCCCUUAGAGACGCUUUGGAUGAUAAGGGAUGGGAUUACCAAAUUGAUGAAGGUGGUGGUGCGUUUUAUGGUCCAAAGAUUGAUCUUAAGAUUGAGGAUGCUCUUGGAAGGAAGUGGCAGUGCUCAACCAUACAGGCAAGUCCUAAUAUCUUUAAAUACCAUAUCUAAUUUUGACAUGGAUUCUCACUGGGUAAGUAAGAAUAUGUCUGCUAUAAUAUUUGCAUUAUAGCUCAUGUCCUGUUUCCUUACAUUCGUAACAAGCCCUCGUCUCUCUCUCUCUCUCUCUCUCUCUAUGCUGUAGUGAUUCUGAAAAAACUUCAUAUCAAUUCAUAUCGAUUUCAUUCAUUCAUAUCAAGGCAUAUUGAUUUCAUUCAUUUAUUUCCAUGGCAAAACUGUUUGAUUGAGUGACAUUUUAUUUCUCAAUGUAAGCAGGUUGAUUUCAAUUUACCACAGCGAUUUGACAUUGUGUAUGUUGACUCAAACUCAGAAAAGAAGCGUCCCAUCAUGAUCCACAGAGCAGUGCUUGGAUCCUUGGAACGUUUCUUUGGAGUUCUAAUAGAGCAUUAUGCUGGGGAUUUUCCUUUGUGGCUUUCUCCAAUCCAAGCUCGUGUUUUACCAGUUACAGACACACAGGUAUACAUGGCUACUUCUGUUAUGAACCUCAGAUUUCCAUUGUUAUGAAUCUAUUUACGGUUUUGCAAGUGACUUAAGAUUUAUAUAAUCUUUGCUAUAAAAUAACUAAUUGGAUGCAUUUAUCCAGCUUGAGUACUGUAAUGAGGUGAUAAAAAAACUGAAAACUAAUGGUAUACGAGCUGAAAUUUGCCAUGGUGAGCGCCUGCCUAAGCUCAUUAGAAAUGCAGAGAAACAGAAAAUUCCAUUAAUGGCAGUCGUUGGAGCUAAGGAAGUUGAUGCACAAACUGUUACAGUCAGAUCUAGGUUUGGUGGAGAGCUUGGGACCAUGAAAGUUGAUGAUUUUAUCAGCAGAAUCAAGUCUGCCACUGAAAACAGAACUACAAUGUAAAGUUCUUUGAAAUUCUUAGACAUGAUAUUUUUACAGGGAUUUGAAUACAUACGAUUUUCAUUAGAUAGCGACAUUUUUUUACUCGUAAAUUUAUCUACUUGAGAAACUAAAUAUUUCUAAUUUAUGGUUGUAGCCUGUGUACAAUAAUUUUAGUUUCUAUUUUUCCUAAUAAGCAAAUAAAUAUCUGUUUAUCAAAGAAAAUGUCUGUCGAGGUUGUAACAGAAAUUGCUUAUAUCAAGUCAAAGUUUGAUUGCGGCAUAAUUUAAAUUUAUUUAUAUUUCGGAACAACAAGAUAUCCCUUUUCAUUUUUCCUUUUCUGUGAUUGUUGAAGCAUUUCUUUUGUAGGUUCACACGGUCUGAAAUUUGGAUUCUUUUGUUCACAUGGUUUGGGUCCUUUUGUUCACAUGAUAUUUUCUGAUAUAGCAUUGAUUUGAAACCAGCAUUAAUUCGAAUUUUUCAUAUUUUGUGGAGUCGUCUAAAAAGCUUUCACUGAACGACUGAAAUGUUUACUUUUAAAUAGCUUGCACGUCCAGGUGAAUGAAUGGAGCGUUCGAGCUAAAAUUGCUCAGUGAGCAAAUACGUUUAGUAUUUAUUAUUAUUUACCCUAAUUAGAGUUUAAUGUCCUCCAGGAAAGCUGAAUCUCCCGUCAACAUUUUUGGUUCUUCAAAUAUUUGACCCUGAGCCACCUAAAAUUAGGUGGAGGUUUGUAGUGUAAAGUUCCCUUAAUCUCACUAUAAAUGAACAUUUUUUGAGAGAUUAUCUCGUCUUAAUAAAAAAGAUAAUCCAAGCUCAAAAGGCCUUAUUUGAAAAAAAAAAAAAAAAAAAACGAACGGAUUAAAAAGAGUUUCCAAGAUGAAAGUAGUGGGUGCAUUGCUUUUGUGCUGGCUGACAUUAGUCAUAGAGUCACAAGGAGCAAAUUUGGAUUUCCAAAAACCUGAAGCACAGGCCUCAGAAGCAGAGGCCUCAAAAGGUUUUAACUGUUGUCAGACAACCUGAACCAGAUGCCGCGCGAUCACAAGGUGCAGUUUUUUAUGUUUUAAGUAUGGAGCAAAGGCCGAUGGCAACUCAGAUGAUAGUAAGGUGUAAACAUUUCUAUAAUUCUGAGUAAUUUCAAAUAAGUUUUCUUGGUUUGUCCGAUUGUUUUUCUUUCUUUAGGCUAUUGCAAGUGCCUGGAAAGAGGCAUGCACAUCUGAAAAUCUGAGCACUGUUGUAAUUUCGAAAGGAAACUACAUGGUUGGUUCAGUAACGUUCAAAGGACCCUGCAAAUCUCCUAUAACUCUUCAUAUUGAAGGAAAACUGAAGGCCCCAGUAGAAUUAGAAAGGCUCAGUUCACAGGACGGAUGGAUCGUUUUCCAGGACAUUGAUGGGUUACAAGUCUCUGGAGGAGGAACAUUUGACGGUCAAGGAUCAGCUGCUUGGGCUAAAAAUGAUUGCCGGAAAACUGGAAAAUGCAGUUCUUUACCAAUAGUAAGUAUUUGCCACUAUCACACACAUUGCUUCCGGAUUUUUUUUUUUUUUAACUCAUGUUAAUGCUAAUGCAAUGAGUUAUGACUAUGGUUUUUUUAUUUGAAAACAGAACUUGAGAUUUUCUUCAGUCACCAAUUCGAAGAUGCAAGACGUAACUUCACUUAACAGCAAGCUGUUUCACAUUAACAUUUUGAAUUGCAAGAACUUGAGCCUUCAGCAUAUUAGCAUCAAUGCACCAGCAAACAGCCUAAACACUGCUGGGAUCCACAUUGGUCGAUCAAACGGGGUCCACAUCACUGAUGCAGACAUUAAAACUGGGGAUGAUUGUGUUUCACUUGGCGAUGGAAGCCAACAAAUAAGCAUUGAAAAAGUGACCUGUGGCCCUGGCCAUGGCAUCAGUGUUGAUACCCUUGGGAGAUACCAUGAUGAGCAACCCGUUAAUGGAGUUACAGUGAGAAAUUGCACUCUCAAAAACACAAUGAAUGGUGUUAGAGUCAAGACUUGGCCAGAUUCGCCUAGUGGUGUUGCGUCAGAAAUGACUUUUGAGGACAUCAUCAUGGACAAUGUUAGCAAUCCUAUUCUAAUAGACCAAAAAUACUGCCCUUAUGGUGAAUGCAAAGCUAAGAUACUUAAAUAACUCCUUGAUUAAAAUUGCAUUAAGAGAAAAAUCAUAUUAAGUUAUUGAAUUGAUAAAUUCUAUCCUGUAUCUAGGCACCCUCUCGUGUUAGGAUCAGCAACGUGAACUUCAACAACAUUAGUGGAACAUCGGUGACUCAUCUAGCAGGUGAAGCUUGCUUGUAGUGCAGGCAUACAAUGCAGGAACGUACAUAUUGGUAACAUUCACUUGACAUAUACCCCACAAGGCACUGCCUUCUCAGAAUGUACCAACGUCAGGCCUGUAGUUUCCGGCAGAGUGGUUCCGCGUGCUUGCUUCAAGAAUACAUGAGCUUCCUCAGAUGCUGACCAAGUAGUAGUCCAAGAUAUUAUUCAUAUUCAUGCUAGAAAAAAACUGUCCAAGCGUCCCUUCGUGCAUACUUGCAUAAUGAGUGAUGGUGAUUGGUGAAUUGUGUAUUUGAUUCUGUAUUUUUUUUUAUGCAGAGUCAAUGUAUUGUUACAGAAACAAGAAACAACAGAGACAUAGUUCUUUAUUUGAAAAUAUCUAGAAUGUGAUAUCAAUGUCUCUGCUACGGCACUUCAUUGAAGCUGUAACUAGUCUAGUCCAUUUUGUUAAUACCACAUUCUUGGCUAGUGCGACGCCAUUUCUGUUAACUACGCCUUCGUGUUAAUUAGCCAACCAUCAAUAAUGAAGUGAGCUCAAGGUUGAAGACGAGCCUUAGCCCCCACCUUUUCUAGUGUAUGAUUGUUGCUUAGUUAGAGAGAAAACAUGAUUUUCUAUAUACGCAGUGCGCUUGGGGUAUUCCUAUGAUCACCAUGCCACCUAAUGUUGUUUUUUAUGGCACUUUUCCUCUCUAGCCAAGGAUGUUCUUGUCCUUUUAUACUUACAAACAUUUAAACCCUGGGAGGGAGCAUACUUGAAGAAUAAUUUUGCUCAUUAUUAAUGUAAUUUGUAAGAGAACCCGGCAGCUCUGUGAGAGCAGCCCUAUAGUUGUUGACAUGGUAGACCUUUAUUGCCUCCAAACCUUUUGGCAGUCUGUUUACUCAUUAGUUCCCCAUUUUUAGCUAGAGAGACAAUAUUCUCUUUAGGUGAUAACAACCUCUCACGUGAUCCUGAAUAAUCUAAUUUUCUUUUUACAUUGCACUUAUAACCAAGACUUUUUUUUAUAUAUAAAAGGGAGCCAAACAAGGCUAAACCGAAACAAAACGUGGGAAAGCAUUCCCGUACAUGUCAUAAGUUAAACAAUUAACAAUACCAUUAGGAGGGUUGUGGAGGACAUGAAAACCAAGAGGUUGCCUCAUUGCGAAAUUUGCAAGAAAAUCCGCUGCAAAGUUUGCUUCGCGGUAAAUGUGGCUAAUGCACACAUGCCAUUCUCUAUUUAUGAGCCUUCGGAUACUUUGAAUCACAGAAGAAAAUUUGCUUGGGUUAUUGUUCGUGUCUGCAAGAAGCUCAGUGAUGCACUUGCUGUCAACUUCAACCAACAAAGACCGAAUUCCCAUCUUCCAAGCCAGGUCAAGACCAUAGAAUAAACCCCAAAGCUCAGCAUUUGUAACCGAACUAAUUCCAAUGUUCGCACAGAAUCCAGCAAUCCAGUUCCCAUUUGCAUUUCUUAUCAAGCCCCCUGCAGCUGCCAUGUUCAUCUUCUUGCAGGCCCCAUCAGUAUUCAAUUUGAAGACAUUUUCAGGAGGAGGUUUCCACCCAAAGUAUUUAACCAUCUUUGAAGCUCCAGGCUUGAUCAAGGCCAUCAUGGUUUUAUGGGCAUUUUCAGCUCUGGUCAUAAUAUCUAAAGUGAUGUUUUGACUGCUCCUCUGGUCAUGGUUUUAUAACCAAGACUUUAUAUUACUGUUCUGUAUUUCUUAUAAUAUUUCACUUAUCCUUGGCAUAAUUGGGGUAACCGAGCUCCCCCUAAUACUCAACCGCUCCUUGUUCGUAAUGAUAGGUUGCAUCCAUACAUUUUCAUCUAUUUUCCCCCCGAACACAUAUACUUAUGAUUUCAUUAUUUUAAAUUAAAAUUUAGAUAUUUGAUUACUUUAUUAUCUAGCUAAUAAUCUGAAUAUUAAAUAAUACCAUACAAAUAAAUUUUUUAUAAGUAAAUAAUAAUUAAACUUAAAUUAGUAUUUAAUUAAAUGAAAAUUGAUUUUAAUAAUUAAUUAAAUUAAACGACUAGUCAUACAAUAUCCAUAAAAAAAUUUCAAUUUGUCAUCUCUAUAAUGAAUUUAUAAACAACACAUACAAAUUUUAUCUGGAGGGAGUAAAGUUUAUGUCAUACCACUUCUGUAACUGUACGCGAUUUCAUCUAUAUAAUUAUCUUAAAAUGACAUGACAGACCUUAUGAAAGAGAGAGGGGGAAAAAAGACACGACAUAUAAAUUUUACUUUGGAAUUAAAUUUGUAUGACAUGUCACAUUUUAUCUAAAUAUAUAACAAUUAUUCAUACAUAUAUCAUAAACAUGUACGACAUGUAAUUUAUGUCAGAAACUAUUAAUGAUAUGUUACACAAUAUUGGCCAAAGAUUUAAUUAUGGGCAAUGACUAUCUCGAAGCUGCUCUAAGGUAGAACAAAAAUCACGGUCACACACGCAAAGUGAUAAAUAAUAAAAAAUACGUUAUAACUUUGAUCGUGUAGUUUUGAAGACAUGUUCUACCUUAGACCAAUUGCAACAUAACUGGACCCUUUAUUUAUUUAUUUUUUCUGUUUUCAAACUUAAUGCAAAUUAGAGAACAAAUUAUUGCUGAAGUAAUCUUUUUUCUUCUUUUUCUUAAUCUUUCUUCAAAUUCAAUAACUUGGAUUUUGUUACCCUAAAUUAUAAUUGUGUAAAUUAACAAUAAUAAUUGUAUUUAAUUCCAAGAAUUUAAUUUUUUUAACCUAUUACUUCUUCAAGGGUGAGAUAUUUAAUAAUUUGGUUGCAAACGCCUUAAGAAAAUUUAGCUUAUACCCCUUAAUUUUUCAUAAAAGAAUAUAUUUUUUAAAUUUUCACCUAUGUCCCCAAUUCAAUUUGUUUUUUGUUUUUAGUUAGAGUUGGAGAAUCAUUUUAUAAAAUAUUUCAAUUAUAUAUUUAUUAAAUAAAUUGAAAUUAUUGUCGUUAGGAGUAAUUUUAUAAUAAGGAAGUCUUUUACUUAACCUAUAGCAAUAAUGCUAGAGAUCCUUAAAUUUGAGUCCCUACUUGAGUUCUUGUUAGUGUAUUAAAAUCUGGGUUUUUUUUUUUUUAAAUUUAUGAGUGACAUUUUCACUUUGUUAAAAUGAGGAUGCCCUCUCUAGAUAAUUAUUAUAUAUUUACUCCUUUACAUGAACCACAUUCAUACAAAUAUUUAUCAUAUAUAUAUAUAUGUACUCUGCUCUGAGGAUGAGUGAUGAAAUCAUGUGCAAUGAGAAGUGUGAAGAUACUAAAAUAUAUUAGGUGUAUUCUCAACAAAUACUCAGCUAUCCUAAUCAAUAUUAGAAAAAUAAUUUUUGUAAAAAAAAUUUAAAUGAUUUUGAAGUAGGAUUGAGAAUUAAUAUCGGGUAAAUGGUACUUUCAUUUCUUUCAAAAUUCAUUUUUAUCACUAAAGACCCUAAUAAUAUGUUGAAUUGUAAAAAUGCAAAAGUCUUAACGGAUAUAUAAAAUGUUCGAGAAAUAAAUAAAUUGAAAAAUUUUAAAGAAUAAAAGGAAAUAAAUAAAACAAUAUGUCUAUUCCCUUGGAAAAAUUAAUUCAAGCUUAUUCUGAAAUAAAAUUGCGAGAAACCGUCAUCAACUUAAACAGUUAAACUAGAUCUAGUGCAAAUUAAAAACUUCACGCACCACCACUCAUCAUGCACCCAGACAUGAAGGGGUCGUAGAAGAAUAUUGCUCCUUCUUGCAGCAUCAGAAAUUAAAAGAAAGACGGCGGCGACCAGGGAUGGCGGAGCCAGAGGGAGUGGCGCUGGCGAUGCAGGGAGGCGGGUUCAUUUUGCCAGAAGUCUUGGGUUGAAUAUUUGUGCAUUCGGAUUUAAUAGGUCCUUCGGGUCCUGUAUAUGUAAGACUAAUGUCAGCAAGCUCCACGCCCUCGCAUGGCACGCCACCGCUACAAGCCAGCUUUAUAGCCACCGCCGUCGCUGAGGUGCCUCGUAUGUUCUUGAAGCUUACCCUGUCCAGCUUAACACGCGAUGGGACCUGAAGAAAAUAAUUAAUAAUAAUCUCAUUAAAUUUAAUUAAUUAACUGAUUAAUUAAAGAACAUGUACAUAAUAGGUAUUACGUAUGUACCUUGGCAUUGCACUGAUUGUGGGGGCAGUACACUUGAUCCAAGAGGAUAGGAUUACUGACAUUAUUCAUUUUAAUGUCUUCGAAAUGCAAGUCAGAUGCAGUGCCUGGAUAUGAAGCUGGCCAGGUUUUGAUUCUCACGCCAUUCGAGGUGUUGCUAAUGUUGCAUUCCCUGACCCUGAUUCCAACUACAGGCUGUUCAUUUUGGUACUUUCCUAGACUUCCUACACUGAUUCCAUGACCGGGUCCGCAAUCAAUCUUGUUGAUUUCCAUUUGCUGGGUGCCGUCGCCAAUCGAGAUACAAUCGUCCCCUGUUCCGAUUUUCGAAUCCGUAAUCGUCACUCCACUGGAUCGUCCGACGUGAAUUCCAUCCGUGUUCAGACUCUCCUCAGGUGCUGUCACGGUAACUCUCUGGAAGGUGAAGUUCUUGGCGCCAAUUACGUUAAUAUGAAACUGUUUGCUGUUCAGUGAAGUCACGUCUUGUACCACCGAGUUUGUGAUGGCGUUGAAACUCAAAUUCUGACAAAGUUAAUUACGUACAUUCUGGUUAGCUAGCUAUGGUGAAUUAAAAUGCUACACGCACAUAAAUGUAAAAGAAAUAAAGCUGAGCCUGUCAGGAUUGAAAACACACACUUACAAUGGGACGUUUCUUGCAAUAAUCAUCCUUUUCACAUUCAGAAGGAGCGACGGCUCCUUGGCCAUCAAAAGUUCCACCGCCGGAUACCGUCAGAUGUUCGAUUUUAUUGAAUGAAACCCAACUGCCAGCGUCCUUGACAUUUGCAGGAUCUGUUAGGGCUUUAAGGGUGCCUUUAACCUGAAGCUCAAUAGCAGCCUUGCAUGGGCCUUCCAUGGUCACUGGACUUAAUUGAUACGUCCCUUGCGGGAUCAACACUUUGCUUGGUGUUGUUGCUGCACAGGCUUCUUUCCAAGCAUCCCUUAAAGCCUAAUUAAGACAAGAAGCAACAAACAUUAUUUGAUUAAGAUGACUAGAACAUUAUUUAUAAAUGCUAAAUUUUAAAAAAGAAAAAAAAAUCAAAAAAUCAUAGCUAGUGGGGAUAUUCAAUCUCACAAAUCAUCAAAUUAAGGCUCAGUUAUUACCUGGCUUAUAUCUGCAUUUUGCUUUGCACCGUGUUUUGUCACAUCGACGUCCAAAGCUGCAGCAGCCGAUAACAUCAGUAAUGAUAGGAACAAAGCCAGGAUAUUCGAUUUCGCCAUGUUCUAGUUUCAGCUGCACUUAUUUAAUUUCUUAAUUAACUUGAGAUUUUGGAUGAAUUGCAUGAAAUCUUGCUUCUUCCUGAUAACAUUUUAUAGUGCACUCAGGGAAGCUCAUGCCACAAAAAUUUUCAACCAAAUCUUUAGCUAAUUUUAUGCCCCCUUUCCUUAUUGUCGUAACUCAGUGGCUCAAUUUAUUUCCUAUUUUUAGUGUUUAUUCUUUUUUUUUUUUAAUCUUCCGCAAAUAUUUCCUGCACAAGAUGAAUUGGUAAAGAACAAACAUUAGUUAGUUUUUUAAAAAGAAAAUGUUGGCUAGUCACAAUAUUACACACCUUUUUUUUUUCUCUCCCUCUUUUUCUGCAUAUGCAUCUAUCAGAUUAGUAUUAAGUGUGGAGAUAAGUUUUGCUUAACACUCAAUUAAUGGAUUUUUUUUUUAAAUCUUAACCAGAGUUUGUCCAAGGUUUUUAAAUAUAAAUCAACGAGUAUAGCUGUUAGGUUUUUGGGAAUUGAUGAAUCAAAAAUUACAUUUUGAGUCUUUUUUUUUUUAGCGUAACAACAACAAUGAUAGCAGCACUUGCUAAAUUGACAACUUCAAUUAAAUAAUAAUUUUUGUUGUUUGUGACUCGGGAUAGGUCAAUGUGAUAAAUUAAUAAUUUGAUAAAUUAUAAAAUAAUGAUUUUUUUAAAUCCUAUUUUCUUGUAAGACUUACCUACUAUAUAAGGUAAUAAUUACUAAUUUUGAAACUAAAUUUACAUAAUAUGUCAAGUGACUUUUGUAAAAUAUGUUCUCAGUAUUGUUAGUCGCUUCUUGAAAUUAAUUUAGAAGUCAAUAUCAUUUCUAGCUCUACAAUAAUUUGAUUACUACUGGUGUAAGACAAUUAACUACUAUUAAAUAAAACACAAUAAAUACUAAAUUAAAGAAAAAAAUUAUAAAUGUGAUAAUAUUUUCUAGAAAUAAAAUUUUUUAUCACAAGUGAAUAAUUAAUUUAUUGAUAUAUUAAUAUUCACUAAAUUUAUAAACUUUUCAUAGUGUCAAUAUUAUUAAUUCAUUAAAGGUUUAUUGUAUAUAUAUUUACAGAGUUAGGUUCCAUUAAACCAUUGGAUUCUGUAAUUGAGUUGAAGUACAAGAUUCUUUAGUGGAACCUAACUCAUAUGCAUGUGUGUGUAUGAGUGCACAUAGUGCUUCUCUUGCGCAUAAUUCCACACUUGUAAAAUUAUGCGGAUGUUGAUCGUCGGCAAUUGGAUCAAUCCAGUUUGAUCUAGUGGCAGAAAUUGAUCAAGCAUGAGUCAACAAUCUUCAUUACAUUGUUUAUAAGCAAGUUUAUAAUUUCACUGAAUGCUGUUACUCAAAUCCCCAUCAUCUCAGACAAUAACGUAUUAAUUUGGGAGCUAAUUACUAGAGACGGAAGAACCACUCACACCUCUUUGAUCCCGAUGAAUUAUUGACUGUUAAGGCAAUCUCCCGUUGUUCUCCCCUACUUUUCUCAUCCUUGUUUAGUCGCUUUUACUGCUUCUGGGGCCACCACAAGUUUUAUAUGAAUCAUUGUUAUUAAAAUUCGGCCGGUCACAUUCGAUAAAAUUGGCUCCAUGAGGACCAACACUAUAUCAAAGGAAACGAAAAAGCAAGAACCAGCAUGGCUGAACUUGAGCAAAGACAGAGAAGACUGAACUCAAUGUGGACGACAAAUAGCAACUUUGGAGCAAACUUGGGAUCAAAAGCUUAAUUUUAACAGAUAUCCUAAGUUGGGACCCAUGGGUGCUCGACCAGGUGGUUUUCGAACAAUAUUAUUUGGCUAAUUAUCCGAUUUUGAGUCUUAGGAACGUAGGAAAUUAGAAAAUUGAUUUUGACUUUGUUUAUUCUCCUAUUAAGGGAAAAAAAAAGUAUGUUAUCUCUUGGAGAAUAACAAUAUUAAAUGAAGAGUAAUGUUAUAAUUAAUUGGGGAUAAAUUCUAUAAUACAUCUAAGACUCCAUGUCAUAAUUUGAUAUGAAACCACCAAUUAAUUAUAGUUGGACACAUGGCGAUACAUAUUGAAUAAAUUUUAAAACAAAAAUUAUAAAUUUCCCUCUUUUCAUUAUGCCUCUAUAUAUUAUUUUUGAAUAUUUUGGAAUUUCAAUAAAGUAAGAGAUACAACAUUAAUGCUACUCUCUCUCUUCAUAUUUGCUUUGGUGACUGCCAUUUUUGAAAACUAAUGAAGACGAAUAAGAUUUUUUUUUUUCAUGAUGAAGAUGAUUUUUCUCCCGAUAAAACCAAUAAAAUGUGCUCCAUUGUUUCAAUUUGCAUCUUUAUUGGGAAUACUGCACCCAUUGCUUUGCCUUGUUGCCAAUAUUAAAUGCGGUAUAACAAUCCAUAUCGGUUGUUGAUGCUGAAAUUUGCUCGCCCUUUGACCGACCAGAUUCUUUUACCAACGUUUAUGUUAUCAACUGUUGCUCGAACCGCUGGGGUUGGAAUCACUCUCCUUUCUCUUACUAGACCUGCGUUCACAAAAAACGGAUCAGAGACGCCGGUGGUUUUGCCGGCGUAAACCCUCCGAUGCCUAAGUUAGCACAAGGUGUUUACGGGAAAACAGUGCAAUUUGGAUUCAAGAAUGAUUUCUAGUUUAUUCGAAGUUUGUAAGAAAAUAGCCUGGUUGCAAUUUGGCAGCGUUUUCCCUCUCUCCGUUUUUUUUGUCUCAUUCUUCAUCGAUUUCUUCUUCUUUUAUAGCCGCUGUCCCACGUUUCCAUUUACCCUUCAUCCCCCCUUUUUCGGGUAGUGGCAGCCCCCCAUGGGACUUUAACUGCUACAUUGUGGGCAAACGUGGGAUCUCGCGUCUCCAGCAACGGUUCUGGGAAAAGCGCAACUACCGUGAUUCUUUGGGAUCGUGUUCCCGCUUUUUGGGGAAUUGGUAUCGGCUCGGUAUAUGACUCUAGUCGGUAUAUUAUCCUGGUCGGUACUCGUCUCUGGUUGGCUCAUGUUUAUCCCUGUGUUCUGCUCAUACCACUUGGCUGAGGUGAUCCAUGCCGGGGCGGAAAUAUUAGCAUGGCCGACCUGGUGCUUUUAUUUACUUAACACCAGUCCCCCAGUUUCUGGUCUUGCGAGUGAAAUGAGUUAAUAGUAUAAACUGAUAGUCAAAUCUCACCAACCCGGGGAGCUUCUCAUCUGAUCUUCUGUUUACUGGGACGGGCUGAGGUACCAUUUUUCUUCUGGGGAGAUUCCGACCUGAGCAUGGGCCUAAAUGAGCAUGUCCAUUGCAUAUCUGGGCUUACAUCUAUCCUGGCCUCUUGUAACGGUUAGUGACGUGGCAUCUCCAGACUCUUCGUAUUUGAAAUUUGAAACGACGGGCUAUCUGACCUCGAUAUUUGGUGAGUGAGCUAGCAUCCCCAUCACUUAAAUGCUUUCAUUUUUCCCUUUUCGUUUCAAAUCCCUAGACUUAAAUCUUCAUCGUUUUGUUAUUCGUCUCUCUGUCGUUAACCAACCCCCUCUUUGAACUUUGCUUAUACUUCUCGUGUCCGAAGUAUCUACUUGCUGGGUUUUUCUUCUAUCACGGCCGCGCUAUCAGUACCAGUUCAAUCCAGGUAUUGCUUUUAAUUUCUUCUCUGGUUCUUGUUGAUUGGGUUCUGUGUUGCCCCCUUUUGUAUCCGUAUACUCGAGUUUUCUUUGUUUUCUUUGUUUUCUUUUGGGAUUCCGGUAUGUCAAAUCGGAAGAGGAAGUUAAUUGCUGAUGAGAGUGACGAAGAAGUAGGGGAUUCAAACCUUAACUUGUCAAUACCCACUGAUUUUUUACGCCCCUCUAGUAGUGUAGGCCCCUCCCAUGGUAGGGAUACCCUUGAGUACCCACGCCCCUUGGCUGUUUCUCCCUCCCCCGAACUAGAACUUGUAAGGAAUAGAGAUGGACCUGUGUCGGGCUCUGGUGAGAACCAUAGCUUCGGUGGGGUUGGGGUCCCUGAAGGAGUUGGUGAUGGUGAGGGGAGCAGUUCCGGACCGAGCGGACCCCCUCGGAGAAGGAACCUUUGUCAUAGGGUAGAGGCAGAUUCUUAUCCUAUUGACUGCAUAACUUGUGCCACCACCCAAACUGAUUUGUUCAAGCUUAGGAACCUUUACAACAUUCCUGAGGAGGUUCUCCUGGUGGUUCCUGGGAAAGGUGAUGUUCCUAGUCGGCCUCCGCGGGAGUAUGUGACGAUGCACCUAGAGAGUUUCAGAUUAGGAGCUCGGCUGCCCCUUCAACGCUAUUUUGCUAAGAUACUGGGUGGUAUGCACCUGACCCCAGGUCAGCAACAUCCCAACGGAUGGAGGGUUCUCUCAGCUAUGUAUGUGCUGUGGGAGAGGUGUAGAUCAGAGGAGCCUUCCCUUGUUGAAGUGAAGUAUCUAUACCAGCUGAGGAGCAGCCCGAAAGAAGCAGGCUGGUAUUAUUUCAUGUCGAGCUCUGCGAAGAGAAAACCAAUCACCGGCUUCCCCUUUUCGUGCUAAAAUUAGAAGAACAAAUUCUUCUUCGCUAGGGGAAGUUGGUGUCCUGCACCUCAUUCGUUGGGUGGUGAUAUUUACCUUCCAACACAUUUUGUCACCCCAGUUCGUUCAUUUUUUGCCUAAAUUCUUAAUCAAAUUACAACUUAUUGGGUUCUUUAACCUUUUUUGCUAUUUCAGAGUCGUGGGGUUUGAUCGGGGGGCUUGAGAACCGACCUUUGCUUCAGGUGGAGACUGCUCUGGUGAACGCGUCUACCUGUCAAGACCUCCUGUCACCAACAAGCCUGGUCGGUUCUGGUUUAGUGGACAUAACAGCUGGAAUGGAUAACAAGAUCCUCAGUGCGAUGACCAAAAAGCGUGGUCGGGCUCCGAGCAGCUCCAGCAACCCUCCUCCGCCUCUGAAGAAAGUCAGUGUUGGCCCUUCUAAGGCUUCUGUUCCUGCUCUGCCCCCUCCUCCACCUUAUAAGAGUGUCAGGGAGAAAACUACUGACAAGAGUUCUGAGGUCAGCACACGCUCUGGGGACCGAUCCUCCCAUCUUCCAGCUCGUGAUCAGGGUGAUUACCUGACCCCGUAUCAGAGGGACUAUGGGAAGUCAGUGGGACCGAAGAUGGUUCAGGACAUUGAGAGCAUGAAUAUCAAUAAACUAGCUGGUUCUGUCCAAAGGGUCUCCUUCAAGUUGGCCACCAUAGUCUCUUGUUACAAGAAUAGGAUCACGCGCCAGGAGAGGAAGCUCCAAGCUGAGAACCAGGACUUGAAGAAGAGGGUUGAGUCUGCUGAUCGCUCGAAAGAGAAGCUAGCCGAGCUGAACAGGCAGAUUACGGAGCUAGAGGAGAAAGUUGCGGUUGCUGAGUCCACUUCUUCCAAAUUUGAGGGUGAGUUGGGUGACCUGAAGUCCAAUCUUCAGGCUACUCAAAGUGAAAGAGAUACUCUGAGGACCGCCCUUGAGGGAGAGAUCAAAUCCCUGAGUGAACAGCUGGCUGAGGAGAAAGGCAAAUCUGCUGGAUGCCGAGUAUAACUCCGGGGUUGCUUUCAGCUAUAAGUGCAUCAUGUCUGUGCUUAAGGAAGAAUACCCCGAGCUGGACAUGAGCAAGCAGGAGGCUGAAGUGGAGAGAUAUAUGGCUGAGGCCGGCCAGGGAGAUAAGGAGCAGGGUGAGCAGGAGCAGGUGGAGGCUCCUUUGGAUGGGGUGUAGGAGGGGGAAGCUGGGGGACGUGCUUUCGAAGUGGGUCAAGGGUUCGUGCCUCCUCCUUCUGGUAUUGCUGAUCUCCCACCUCCUGAGACUGCUGAUCCUUCACCUCCCGAGAUUGCUGAUCCUUCAGCUGCUGGAGCCGUUGACUCUUUUAAUCUUUAAGUCUAUUUUUUGUAUAAACUCGUAUUUGUUUUGUAAACAAUUGAACAUUUAUAAAUUUUUAGAUGCUCUCUAUUGGCUUUCUUGUCUGGUUUUUUGCUCAUAGAUUGUUUCUACAAAAUAAUUGGACAACUUAUCUGGUUUGCCUGCUGGUUCCUUAGUGGACCGAGCAGGAGUAGGCAUUUACUUGCCUUAGUAAAAUUUUCGUCGAAUUAGCUGCUGGUCUUUCGUUGACCGAGCAGACGCAUACACUUUCUUGCCUUAGUAAAAUUUUCGUAAAAUUAGUUGUUGGUCUUUCGUUGACCGAGCAGAAACAAACACUUACUUGCCUUAGUAAAAUUCUCGUAAAAUUAGGUGCUGGUCUUUCGUUGACCGAGCAGAAACAUGCACUUACUUGCCUUAGUAAAAUUCUCGUAAAUUUAGCUGCUGGUCUUUCAUUGACCGAGCAGAAACAGGCACUUGCUUGCCUUAGUAAAAUUCUCGUAAAAUUAGCUGCUGGUCUUUCGUUGACCGAGCAGAAACAGACACUUAUUUGCCUUAGUAAAAUUUUCGUGAAAUUAGUUGCUGAUCUUUCGUUGACCGAGUAGAAGACUGCACUUACUUGCCUUAGUAAAAUUCUCGUAAAUUUAGUUGCUGGUCUUUCGUUGACCGAGCAAAAAUAGGCACUUGCUUGCCUUAGUAAAAUUCUCAUAAAAUUAGCUGCUGGUCUUUCGUUGACCGAGCAGAAACAGGCAUUUAUUUGCCUUAGUAAAAAUUUCGUGAAAUUAGUUGCUGGUCUUUCGUUGACCGAGCAGAAGCAGACACUUACUUACCUUAGCAAAAUUUUUAUUGGGCUUGCUAGCAGGGGGAUUUCAUGCUGAAUUCAUCUUUAUUUGAAAUUUGAAUGUAUUACAAAAAUACAUAAUAUAUACAUGCGCAACAAGCCAUCAUGCAGUUAAUAAAAAUAACCUGCCUUAGUAAAAUUUAUUUGCCUUAGUAAAAAUUUCGUGAAAUUAGUUGCUGGUCUUUCGUUGACCGAGCAGAAGCAGGCACUUACUUACCUUAGCAAAAUUUUUAUUGGGCUUGCUAGCAGGGGGAUUUCAUGCUGAAUUCAUCUUUAUUUGAAAUUUGAAUGUAUUACAAAAAUACAUAAUAUAUACAUGCGCAACAAGCCAUCAUGCAGUUAAUAAAAAUAACCUAUCAAAAUGAGGAUUUAGUAGAGCACUUUGCUUACUGAAAAUACUUCUUUAAGUGCUUGGCGUUCCACGACCUCUUCACGUCUCGUCCAUCUUGGUAUGCUCACUUAUAAGCUCUUGGUCCAGUGGCUCGUAUCACCCUGUAUGGGCAUUCCCAUUUCGGGCCAAGAGCGCCAUGGUUAGGAUCCCUGGUGUUUUGGUUCACCUUCCUAAGUACCCAAUCUCCUGCUCGGAACUGCCUCACGCGUACGUUCUUGUUGUAAUAACGCAUGACCUUUUGCUGACACUGGGCCACUUUCUUCGAGACCCCUUCCCUUUUCUCCUCAAGCAGGUCCAGGCUUAAGCAGAUUUGCUCGUCGUUUUGCUCCUCAGUGAAAUAUUCCGUUCAAUGUGUCCCCACUCCAAUUUUUGCUGGGACUACCGCCUCAUGACCAAAAGUUAAAGCGAAGGGGGUUUCCCCUGUGGCGGUUUUGUGAGUUAUCCGGUAGGCCCAUAAUACUCCUGGUAGUUCGUCAACCCAAGCUCCCUUCUUCUCUCCCAAUCUAAUUUUCAAGAGUUUUUUUAUCACUUUGUUGGCUGCCUCCACUUGUCCAUUUGCCUAGGGGUGUGCGGGGGUGCAGAACUUCAGGUCCACCCACAAAUUUCGGUAAAAUUCCCUGAAGUUACUGUUGUCAAAUUGCCUCCCAUUGUUUGUAAUGACGACAUAGGGGAUCCCGUAUCUGCAGAUGAUAUUCUUCCAAAUAAAAUCCGUUGUCUUUCUCUCCGUGAUUUGGCUGAGGACUCCCACUACUACCUACUUGGUGAAGUAGUCUAUUGCCACAAUUGCAUGUGUCGCCGCUCCUCGGCCCUUAGGUAACGAACCAAUCAAGUCGAUUCCCCAUUGAGCGAAAGGCCACGGGGAUGUCAUAGUGGUCAGCUUUUCUGGGGGUUGUGCAGGAAUCUCAGAGAAGCUUUGGGAGGUUUUACAGUUCUUUGCCAUCUUUUUCGCAUCCUGGUGCAUGGUCGGCCAGAAGUAUCCUUACUGGAGUGCCUUGAAGGCUAAAGUUCUUGCUCCCGAGUGAUUGUCGCAUAUUCCUUUAUGGAUCUCCCUUAGUACAUAAUCUGUCUCCUCGUCAUCCAAACAUCUCAAAAGGGACAAGGUGAACCCUCGGCGGUACAGCAUUCCAUCUAGUAGCGUGUACCUCGCUGCUCGGCAUUUUAAUUUUCUUGCUUGCCUUUUGUCUUCUGGUAAAACUCCAUCGCGCACAUAUGCGCGAAUCGGGUCCAUCCAGGAUUCACCAGUGCUUACUCUCAUCACCUCUACUUCCUCCCUUAUACUUGGCGAGGUCCUUACCUCUAAUGGAACCGACUUAGGUAAUUUCGGAUCUGCAAUUGCAGCCAUCCUAGCCAACAUAUCCGCUCAGUAAUUCUCAUUUCGGGAUAUCUGCUUUACCUCCACCUCUUGGAAAAGCCCGACCAUAUGCUUCGCCUUCUUCAAAUAAAGACCCAUCCUCUCUCCCCUUGCUUGGAACUGAUCAUUGAGCUGAUUACAUACCAAUUGGGAAUCUGAUCGAAUUUCUACCUUCUCUACUCUUAAAGCGUGUGCAAGUCCGAGCCCGGUGAUAAAGGCUUCAUAUUCAGCUUGGUUGUUUGUGAGCUGGAAUUCGAACUUCACUGUAUACGUUAUUUCGGUUCCUUCUGGGCUCCGUAUUACAACUCCCGCUCUGGAUCCUUGCUCACUACAUGAUCCGUCAACCAUUACCAACUACACCCCCUCUGUUUUCUCCUGCUCUAUUGGUUGCUCCUCCCGAAUUUCUUCCCCUAGCUCAGCUCGGUCAACCAUAAAUUCUGCCAAAGCUUGGGCUUUGAUUACUCCUCGGGGCCUAUAGGAGAGGUCAAAUUCACUUAGCUGCACGGACCAUUUUACUAACCGACUAGAUGCAUCUGGUUUUUGAAGUGUUUGCCAAAGGGGCUGGUCAGUCAUCACAACAAUCUGGUGGGCCUGAAAAUAUGGUCGGAGUUUUCGUGCUGCCGUUAUUAGACCCAGUGCCCACCUCUCUAUCAAUGGAUAUCUAGUUUCUGCGUCUACCAGGACCUUACUUGUGUAGUAUACCGGGUGUUGCUUUCCUUCUUCUUCCCUGACUAAUACCAAGCUGGUAGCCCAUUUAGAGAUUGCCAAGUACAGAAACAGCUGGUCACCCUCUCUCGGAGUCGAUAGUAACGGGGCGCGGGUCAGAUAUUCCUUCAGCUGCUCAAAUGCUUUCUCGCACUCUGAUGUCCAUUCCAUCUUUCUCCCUUUCUUUAUGGUUUGGAAGAAAGAGUGGCAUUUAUCUGUGGCCCGCGAGAUAAAUCGGUUGAAUGCUGCCAACUUCCAUGUAAGGCUCUGCACCUCCUUAACUGUCCGUGGGGACCUCAUUUCUGUCACCGCCCGUAUUUUUUCUGGGUUGGCCUCAAUGGCUUACCAGGAAUCCCAAGAACUUGCCUGAGCUGACCCCGAAUGCACAUUUGUCUGAGUUCAGCUUCAUUUCGUACUUCCUCAGCAAUUCAAAGGUCUCUUCUAGAUGCUUCACAUGAUCCCUUGGCUCUUUGGACUUUGUAAUCAUAUCAUCCACAUACACCUCCAUAGUGUGUCCAAUCAACGGUUUGAAGAUCCUGUUUACCAACCUUUGAUAGGUGGCUCAUGCAUUUUUUAGGUCGAAAGACAUUACCAUAUAGCAAAACAAACCCAUGUUAGUUAUAAAAGUGGUGCUUUCCUCAUCCUGCUCGUCCAUGGGUAUCUGGUUGUAUCCAGAAAAGGCAUCCAUGAAAUGUUUGCCAAAGGGGCUGGUCAGUCAUCACAACAAUCUGGUGGGCCUGAAAAUAUGGUCGGAGUUUUCGUGCUGCCGUUAUUAGACCCAGUGCCCACCUCUCUAUCAAUGGAUAUCUAGUUUCUGCGUCUACCAGGACCUUACUUGUGUAGUAUACCGGGUGUUGCUUUCCUUCUUCUUCCCUGACUAAUACCAAGCUGGUAGCCCAUUUAGAGAUUGCCAAGUACAGAAACAGCUGGUCACCCUCUCUCGGAGUCGAUAGUAACGGGGCGCGGGUCAGAUAUUCCUUCAGCUGCUCAAAUGCUUUCUCGCACUCUGAUGUCCAUUCCAUCUUUCUCCCUUUCUUUAUGGUUUGGAAGAAAGAGUGGCAUUUAUCUGUGGCCCGCGAGAUAAAUCGGUUGAAUGCUGCCAACUUCCAUGUAAGGCUCUGCACCUCCUUAACUGUCCGUGGGGACCUCAUUUCUGUCACCGCCCGUAUUUUUUCUGGGUUGGCCUCAAUGGCUUACCAGGAAUCCCAAGAACUUGCCUGAGCUGACCCCGAAUGCACAUUUGUCUGAGUUCAGCUUCAUUUCGUACUUCCUCAGCAAUUCAAAGGUCUCUUCUAGAUGCUUCACAUGAUCCCUUGGCUCUUUGGACUUUGUAAUCAUAUCAUCCACAUACACCUCCAUAGUGUGUCCAAUCAACGGUUUGAAGAUCCUGUUUACCAACCUUUGAUAGGUGGCUCAUGCAUUUUUUAGGUCGAAAGACAUUACCAUAUAGCAAAACAAACCCAUGUUAGUUAUAAAAGUGGUGCUUUCCUCAUCCUGCUCGUCCAUGGGUAUCUGGUUGUAUCCAGAAAAGGCAUCCAUGAAACUGAGCAGACUGUGACCUGCUGUUGAGUCCACCAGCUGAUCUAUUUUAGGUAGGGGAAAGCUGUCCUUCGGGCAUGCCUUAUUGAGGUCUGUGAAGUCCACACACAUUCUCCACUUCUCGUUGGCUUUUUUUACCAGUACUACAUUGGAAAUCCAUUCCGGAUACUUGUUUUCCCUUAUAAAUCCUGCUUUCAACAGCUUCUCCACUUCGGUGUUUAUGGCAUCACACCUUUCCUGGUUAAAGCAUCUCCUUUUCUAUAUCACCGGCCUCGCCCCCUUCUUGAUUGCCAACUUGUGGCAAGUUACCCUGCUAUCAAUUCCUGGCAUGUCCUCGUGAGACCAGACGAAUAUAUCUGCAUGGGACUGUAGGCACUUUACCAGCUCGCCUUUUACUGUCCCGACCAAUCCUGAUCCGAUCUUAAUCACUCUGCUCGGGUUGCUUUUACUUACCACAAUCUCUUUUAGCUUCUCAAUAGGUUCUUGGCGACCCUUUUUAGAAUCUCCAGCAUUAUCUAGAGAAGUAACCUGUAGUGUCUCCUUGGCUGCUGUAGCAUAACAGCUCCUUGCCAUCCUCUGGUCGCAUUUUACUACGCCAACCACUCCAUUUACUCUGUAUUCCAGUGCCAAGUAAUGCGUUGAUAUAACGCAUUGGCUUAUCCUCAUGAACGGUCUCCCUAAUAUCAUUUGGUAAGGGCUUCUUUCCUCUAUCACGACAAAGUCCAGUAUCAUCGUUCUUUCAAACGACUUUGUCCCCACAGUAAUCGGGAGUUCAAUGAUCCCCAUGGGAGUUAACCGUCCUCCUCCAAAUCCCUUCAAGGAUGUAUUCGUCCGCUCCAGCUUUAGAUCUGAAAUCCCCAUAUCAUCUAGGGCCGACUUAAACAGAAUAUCGACUGAGCUGUCCGUGUCUACCAGUAUUCGCCGCAAUUCUGUACUAGCCACCAAUGCUUUAAUUACCAGUGCAUCCUCAUGAGGAUACAAAAUAUCCUCUUCGUUAUCCUCCGUCCACAUAAUGGGAACUUGCCACACUUUUACUCUCUUGGCUGCUGGCAAAUUGAGAAGCACCUCUUUGCCAGUCAUGGCGUAUCUCCCAUAGUUCUUCCGUGCUCUGUUCGAAUCCCCGGCCAAUGUUGACCCUCCUGCUAUCACACGGAUGGUCGGCUUUUCACGUUUCAGACUCUUCUCAACUCCUUCAUCCCACGUGUACUGUGAUUCAAUGACAGGGGACACUCCAUCUACAUACUCAUCCAAGUAUCGAUUUCUCACUAAAUCCUCUACCUGAAUCUUCAGGUCACGACAUUGGCUGAUAGUGUGACCGUGGGUGUCGUGAAAUUUACAGAAUCUGCUCUUAUCCCGUCGGUGAGCCGGUUUUGUUAUAGGGGCUGGAGGGUACAACAUGCCUUAUCCCUCGAUCCUCUCAUACAAUUCCUCCAUGGAGAUCUUUAAUGGAGUGUACUGUCUAUAUGCCAAGCUCUAGUCUACCAGUUGAACUGCUCGGCUAUCAUAAAUGUCAUCUCGGGCUGGUAUAAUCGCUAGCUGAUCUGGUCGUCCAGCCCUGGAACUAGUUGCAUGUAACGCUCUAGGAGUGUUGUGAUAAGGGUGGGCAGCCAUCUGCUUGAAUUCUCGUUACCGCUCUGGGAACAGGGUGCGCGAAGGUUGGGCCCGGCUAUGUUGGAACUGUUGUGGUCUCUGAGCUAUGAGGUAAGGGCAGGACCGAGCUGAUAUUCAGCCCAUAACUGAGGAUUCCCUAGCUCGCUUUCCCGAUCUGCUCCUGUUCGGGGCUCUCCGUUCUUUUCGCCUCAGCUCUUCCAGCUGUUCACUCUUUAUCCUUACCGAUUUCUCCUCUUCAAUUUCAAUCUAUCUCGCCUCGCCUGUUCAUACCCCGCUGAAUAAUUCUGCACUAGGGGGCUUCUUAAGUUAUACCACAAUCGACCGAUUUUUACACCUUCUUUUAAUCCCCUUAACGCCUGUGGGUGAUUAAAAGCUCCCAAAUCUAGCACGGCCCGGUGAUAUUGCUUUACAAAAUCCUGAAGGGACUCAUGCUCCUCUUGUUUCAUCCCCAUCAGUUCCAUCAUGUCGUCCUCUGGGGCUACUGCCCAUUGGAACUGUUCGGCCAACUCUUGGCACAUCUGCUCGUACCAUUUUAUACCUCCUCGGGGCAGCUUGCGGUACCAUUCUCGGGCUCGCCCCUCGAGUGUCAACGGGAACACCCUGCACCUUUGAGCUGGUGUCAACCCCUGCACCCCGGUCAUGUCGUUGAAACGCUCAAUAUACACCAGAUGGUCACUUCAACUGGAGUAUUUGAGGUCGGGGAAGCGGAAAUCUCUUGGGAUUACUGUACCCAUGAUCUCGGUUGAUAACGAAGAUUCUUCAUCCAGCAUUCUUGCUCUGUAUCUCCUCCAUCACCUGCGCCAAUCUGUGCACCUCCCCUUCCAAUUCUACGGCACGGUCAGGAUCACGUGCAGCUAUCUGGUCUCGUUCCAGCUCGGCAUUGUGCAACCGCUGUCUGAGCUCUCCUUCAUCAACACUGGCCCCUCGGCCAUUGACUUCCAGUACCCGUCCGGGGAGAGGUUGGUCCCUCCAUUCAUCUACUCGUUCUCCUGGAACCCGACCAAUGCUUCUGUGGGGAUGCACCCCGUUAGGUUGGUCUGCCGGCGGAGGGAUUUCCUCGACUCUAUGCCUCCGGAGGCUGGGUUCUGCUCCAACAUCAUCUCUCCCCACGAGGGUUUCACAAUCCCUUCUCCGCUCAUCCCUCAGCUCGUACAGUAUGGUCGCGAGAGUCUCCAUUUGUUUCUCCAUCCGCUCCAAUCGAUCUUGCAUCAUCCUCUCCCGGGCUUCAUUUGUAAUUUCCCGAAGAGUGAUUGUCUCCCCAGCUUCGUUAUCCUCCCUCAAAGCGUCCUUCCUUGGCACAUCCAUGUCUAAUCGUUCGUUGUUUCUCCGGUAACUACUAAUUCGGUGGUAGCUUUUUAUCCAGCUCCCCACAGACGGCGCCAAAAUGUUGAUGCUGAAAUCUGCUCGCCCUUUGACCGACCAGAUUCUUUCACCAACGUUUAUGUUAUCAACUGUUGCUCGAACCACUGGGGUUGAAAUCACCCUCCUUUCUCUUACUAGACAUGCGUUCACCAAAAACGGAUCAGAGACACCGGUGGUUUUGCCGGCGUAAACCCUCCGAUGCCUAAGUUAGCACAAGGUGUUUACAGGAAAACAAUACAAUUUGGUUUUAAGAAUGGUUUCUAGUUUAUUCAAAGUUUGUAAGAAAAUUACCUGGUUGCAAUUUGGCAUCAUUUUCCUUCUCUCCGUUUUUUCUGUCUCCUUCUUCAUCGAUUUCUUCUUCUUUUAUAGCCGUUGUCCCACGUUUCCAUUUACCCUUCAUCCCCCCUUUUUCGGAUAGUGGCAGCCCAUCAUGGGACUUUAACUGCUACAUUGUGGGCAAACGUGGGAUCUCGCGUCUCCCGCAACGGUUCUGAGAAAAGCGCAACUACCGUGAUUUUAUGGGAUCGUGUUCCCGCUUUUUGGGGAAUUGGUAUCGGCUCAGUAUAUGACUCUGGUCGGUAUAUUACCCUGGCCGGUACUCGUCUCUAGUUGGCUCAUGUUUAUCCCCGUGUUCUGCUCAUACCACUUGGCUGAGGUGAUCCAUGCCGGGGCGGAAAUAGUAGCAUGGCCGACCUGGUGCUUUUAUUUACUUAACAUCAGUGUUUGAAUCAAAGAUUUAAACUCCCAGUAAAAUGCUAUUUCAAGUCAUCAUAGAUUAAAGUAUGGCCAUGAGAGAGGGGAAUCAAUAGCCAAAUCUACUGGGACAUGAACUUGCCCACCAAAGAAAAAAGAUGAAUUUUUUUUUUUGAUUGUUGUCAAUAUUUUCUCUCCAUUAGAGUUAAAGAUGUUAUAUCAUGUAAUGGUCAGUUUAAUUAGGCUUGUUCAGUUUACCGUCGAUUUAACCUUUCUCUAAAAUUUCACAUAUGAUUUAUUGAUUACAUUAGUAUAAUAUACUCCUUCUAUCAGUUUUGUGUGAUUAAGGCAUUAGUUUUAUUUUUACUAAGAGGACAUUUUUUAUUAUGCUAUUUAAAAUUAAUGGAUCUAUUUUCAGUGCCAAUUUUGCAUUGAUUAUGUUGUGUCAUCUUUGUAUAUAGUAUACUCUUGAAAAUCCUUUUUGAGUGAUUGAAUUUUAUCGCUACUUAACAAAAUAUAAAGACUUGAUGGUAUCGAGGAUAUAGAACAAAUUGAAUAAAGAUUUACCGAUAUGUUCCAAACCUUGGUAGAAUUGUUAAAGGUACUUUAGAUCGUACUAAUUCACCAUUAAAAAAAAUAUGUACCAAUUCAAAAGCCACACUAUUAUUGAAAGAGAAAUCUCCUCAAAUUAAUUUAUAGAUGCUUAUUAAAAUAAAUUAUUUCUUAAUGUCAAUAAAUAAUUGGCUAACCAAAAAGUAAAAUAAAGAAAACUUAUGACAGCCACUAUAAAAAAUAAAUAAAUAAACAAUGGCAGCCACAGAUGUUUCAUCUUUCACAAAACCAUUCUUGCUUUAGCCUUUAUGUGUGAAGGGGGCCAACAUCAUCUUGAUCAUCAAAAAUAUUAUUCUUCUUUACUAGGUUUAAAAAAAGGCAGGCACAAAACAAAGAUAAAAAUUGAACAGGGAGAAAAGACUUCGAAUGCGAAUAAGGUAAGAGAGAGAGAGUAACAUUAAUGUUUUAUCUCUUACUUUUUUUUUAACUUUUAAAAUAUUAAAGGAUAAUGAGAAGAGGAAAAUUUAAAACUUUUGUUCUAUAAUUUUCUUAACAUAUAUCGUCACAUGUCUUAUAAUUUGUUGGUAGUUCCACAUCAAAUUAUAACAUGGAAUCUCGGAUAUAUUUUAGAAUUUCUCCUUAGUUGAAAUACUUAUUUUAGAUCUCAACUGAUGUGUCGCUAAUAAUAAAAUUUCAUCAUUUAAAUAAAAAAUAAUAAAAUUUAAUUAUUAAUUAUCACUUAAUCCAAUCAAAUAAUGCCACAUUAUUUACAAAAAAAAAAUGAUAAAACUUAAUUACUAUGAACCUUCAAGUUGCAUGCAACUAAGAGUCAUAAGAGUCGGCCAAAGGAUUCCAUCUGUCUUCGUUUGUAAACAUUUCAAUGCUUAGUAUCCAUCGAUUUUGUUGACUUCGAUGGGUUGACUAUGAAGCUUUUAUUGUUAGUGAGUAGCUAUUUAUGGAAAGAUUUGGUCUUUUUCUUUGUCAUACAUAAUUCCUUUUUGUUUGCAAUUGAUGAAUAAUUUUUAUAAUUAAAUUAAAUGAAUAAAUUUUUUUAUUUAAUUAAAGAUUAAUGUUACUUUAGAAGUUUUAUGUUAUUUUUGUAAGUGUUUUUUUUUUAUUUAUAAUUUUAAAACACUAUUUUACUACUCUUAUGUUAUUUUACUUAUUUUACCUUUUUUUUUAAUUUUAUGUAUAAUUUAUAAAAUUUAUAUUUAUCACAACAUUGAUGCUAUAAUUUUAAUCAAAGCAUUACAGAAUUUUCCGUUAGAAUAUACAGGAAAUACUAAGAUUGAUUCAUAAAACCGGCCAUUGGUCGUACUUCAAGGGCUGCUUCCUACCUCAUGAAGAUCUCUGUCUUCCAGAGAGGAUUUGCUUCUUGUAGAGGUAAAUCAACUUUCAGUGGUUGUUAUUUUGUUGUCUGUGUUAAUUUUAGUACAUUUUUAAUGCGUAUGCAAGCAAUGGUCAUCAUCUAUAAGAGUCCGAACAUUUUGAAAAUAGAUAUGCAUGUGGAUGUUAUUAUCAUUUGGUUACAAAAUUCUCUAUCAGGUUAAAUUUUUUGACAUCAGAUGUCAUAAUUAAAUUUAAAAAAAAAACACACAAUAUACAGAGUGGGAAAAAAUUCAAGAUGGGUGAGCUAUUGACUUUACGUGAGAGAGAGUCAGCAGAUUGAUACAUACAUACAUACAUAUAUAUAUAUAUAUAUAUAUAUAUAUAUAAAACUUAAGGCGCUUACCACUCGUCCUAAAAGCUUAAGCUGUUAGGAGAAGGCGCUACUUUAUACUUAAGCACCACCCGGACCAAACCAGGUAACGUCUCCACGUUAUGCCACGACAUCGUGACCCCACAUCGGCCUUACAGGAGUCACCACAAGGGUGCGGGCCCCAGUUCCAGUACUGGGAUAAUAUAUUAAGCCCAUUCCUCCCCCCCGAGUUUCGAACCCUGGCUGGCUCUGAUACCACUUAAGGCGCUUACUUAGAAAUUUUUGGAAGUUCCCAACAAUCAAAGCAUGCUUGCAGACUGGUUUUUAUCAGAUUUGCCAUAAAAUUUCUACGUUCCUCUGAGGCAAAGAGACCGGAUCUCGAUCCUCAGUUGUAAAUCUUCUCUUCUCCCUCCAUUCCUUCAGAGCACCAUUUCCGGGAUUCCGGAUCUGGUACUGUGUAUGUACCCAAACCUCUAAAAGAACCUAAUCUAAAUAUGAUAGUAACCCAAUAAAAAGAAUCAACCACGUUUAAAGCAACUUAACUUUAUUUGGUAAAAUAAAACUGAUUUGGUAUAUCGGCUGGAAACCCGAACGUGCGGACUAUUGAUCUGUUCUAAGUCAGAUCUGGGUCCAAAGGCUUCACUUUGUGUAGCAUCGAUCUGGUUUAACAACGCCACGUACCAAUUAGUUAUUAAAAAUUUGACCAACCGCGCGCGAUUCAAUUAUUUCUUUAAAAGUAAACAAUAAAGAGUUUUGACGAAAACACAUCCAUCAUUCAAUCCUAUUUCCUUCUGGUAUAAUAGUGUAAUAACAUUAUAUUAUUAAAUUAUAUAGUUUAAUAAUUUUUUGAAACUUCAAUAAAAUUUAAAAUCCUGACCAGAUCAGCUCUCUCUCUCUCUCUCUCUCUAUAUAUAAAUAUAUAUGUAUGCAUAUGCUUGUAAUAAUGAUUGAAUAGAUUUUAAUUUUGUUCUUGGAUUAAAUGACUUUCUUGUAUGUCUGCGUGGACUAACGUAACACAUUAAAAAAAUAAAGCUAUUAUCAGCACCAAUAUUUGGAAAAUGUAAUUAUUAUAUGAUUACAUUUACAUAUAAUUGUACUCUUCGAUGAGUUAUUGGUCAGUCAUUUUCAAUACUCAAUGAAAAUUUACUUUAAUUUGCUUGUCAUUUUCAGCUUUAUUCUAAAAUGUGCGAAAAAGAAGUGUUGUGGGAAUUAAAGCUUAGCAAAUUCCAAGCCUUGUUGGUUAAGCAAAACAACAUAUUAAGUGAAAGUUGAAAGGAGUUCCAGAAAGGUACUUUAUUAUUAAUGCAUUCUAUUUUUUCUUUAGAGAUUUGUUUGAUAUGGUAUCUUUCUUUCAUUGGUACUUUCAGAAUUAUUAUUGGUUACUACAACUUUUUUAUUCCACUAGCUACAUUAUAGUUAUGAUUGCCUAGAAGAGAAAACGAAGAAAAGCUUGGGAUUUAAAGCUUAAAAAAUCUUGCAAAACUUUUUCUUAAUUUCUAACAGUAUAUUUUUCCCUUAUUCAUUAUAAGUUUUGUCAAUUUUCUCUUCCACUCAAAUUUAUCAGUAGCUCUCUGGUGCCACAUCUGUACAGUUGAAUAUUAAAAUUUGAGGCUACAAUCGUAUCUGGUUAUAACUUAACAUUGUGUUGUAGUUAUAUCACAUCUAAUAUAUAUUGUGUCAUAAAUUCCUAUCUUAUUUGGGUUUAAUUAUUUGCGAAUGUUUCUUCAAUAUAGUACUUCCAUUUGGCCUUCCCUUUUAAUGUUUUGGUGGCUAAAACGAAUGUGUGAUUCUUAUUGUUAUUUUUUUUAAUAUAAUAUCGACCUUCUUGUCAAAAAAACAAAAGAAAUAUUUUAUUAAAAAAUAGAAUAAUUUUAGCUCGAGCAUAUAAAUAUAAAGUUUGCCAUGCAUACAGGCUAGACAGGGAGAGGCAAUAUCAACAAAGUCAAAAAAGUGAAUAUAUAAUAAUAAUAAUAAUAAUAAUAAUUUUCUAGUGAAUUAUCUUUAUUUUAACAAAAUGAAGAUGCUAUUAAUAAACAUCAACCACAGUCUCUAAUAUAUUGAAUUUUAUAAUUUUUUUUUUAUAUUUUACUGAUAUCCUAACUUUUAAUAAAGUGAGGAUGUCCUCAUUAGAGAAUAACUAUAUAUAUACGAUUAAACAUAUAAAUUACUAAUCAUAAAAUUAUAAGAGAGCUAAGGAUGUUCACUUUUUUUUUAAAAUACAAAUUUUAAAUAAUGCAAUGCAUUAUUACUUUAGGUGAAAGAGUCUUGCACGUAAUCGUAAUAUUCACGCUUGAUAUCCACAUUGCAGACUUUGCAGAUAAUGGAUUAAUUGUUCUAGAAUGUUAUGAACGAUUUUUUUUUUCCCCUUAAUAAUUAUCUAAUAGACUAAAUGACCAAAGUGUUAUCAAUAAAAUUGAGUGGGAAAUCUGUCAAAUUAAUUCAUGGUAUGUGUGGCACUCAAUACCACUAGAUCUAGUUCACAAAAAUAUAAUGAUGGUAAGCAAUACAAAGUUAAUUAAUUGGAAUUAAUAGUUGACUCAUUUACUCAUUUUUCCUUUUGCACUAAAUAUGGACAUAAAACCAACCACAUCAUUGCCAUUUUUCUCACGCUUCGCUCUCAUUCGUACACCAAGAAUAUUCCAUAAACCUUCUGAUGAUUACUAAUUGAAAAAGUUCAAAUUUGAUACCAAUUGAAUUGGAUUUCAAGUUGUUGUGAAUAAUAUUCCUGCUUGCUAUAUGCAUAUAUAUCAUUGAGACUUUUGAUAGCAAAAAUUUAAGAGAAUAUAUAUAAAAUAAAUUUAUAUGUUAAUUUAUUUAGAUUAUUAUCAAGCCAAAAAGUCUCUUUUACAAACAUAUUAUAAAAGUAGCUAUUAUUUGAUAUGCUUGUUCUAAUGGAAUCCAUGAUGUGUUAGUAAGCGAUAGCUGGUGUGUCUGAUAAAGUAUAGGCUUGUAGAUUAGUACCUGUUAGAAUUUAUUCCAUAUCUUUGAUUAUGAUUAUCUUCCUUUUUUUUGAAGAAAAAUUAAGGUUAUUAGGCUAUACUGCUUGAGUAUCUUGCUUUUUAAUUUUCUUUUUUUUGAUGACAGAACUUAAAGGCAGAAGCAGGGUUAAUAGAGUGCGCAUUCAUCUCUGUGGUCAUUUAAAUUCAGUUAAUUUUUACACAAAGACUGCCUUUCUUCCAACUCAUCAAAAACAUAUUGAAACUUUAAUUGAUUAUGUAUUAAUAAUUUAAUAAUAUGUUGUAUCCACCUUUCUUUCUUUUUUUUUUUUAAAAUAAUUUUCUAAUUUUUAUAUCCUCCCCCGGCCUCCGCUGCAGCCAGCAGCCUGCUUCAUCAUACAAAAGAAAAAAAUAGAACCACCACUAGUUUAAUUUUCCUUUUUUUUUUCUUUUCAAUAGUACUAUUACUUUAUCCUUAAUUAAUUAUUAAUUACACUUAGAAUAAUGCAUAUGGUUGUUUUAAUUUAAAACUUGAUUAAAGAUCUAUUCCGAUGAUCAUUCUGCAGAUGUAAUUUCCACAUAACAUUGAGAAACAGAAAAAAGAAAAAAAAUGAACCAGAAAAGAAAAGAAACUGCUUUAUUCAUGGCUGGCAAAAUUCCAUUUAUCAUAUAUGGAUUUAUUUGUGUACUUUCUUCGCUAACACAAGUGAUUUGAUUCAGAAAAUUAAACAAAAAUUUACAUGGUACACAAUCUUAAAAAAGACCAUUCUAUGUAAAAUCCAUGCAAAUAAAAAGUACCCCAAUUCUAUAUAAAGAUCCAAAAUCCAGAUAAAAUUUCACCCCCCCCCCCCCNNNNNNNNNNNNNNNNNNNNNNNNNNNNNNNNNNNNNNNNNNNNNNNNNCCCCCAGUACUUGAUCCUUAAAUUGCCCUAAUUAAUUAAUUAACCAACCCCCCAAUAGUUGUAAUAACUAUUGCUAUAUGUAUAUGUAGCUAAUUUACAUCAAGAUUGCAUAGCGCAAGCUGUCACUGACCAUCAAAUGAUUCAUUUCUGAUAUUUGAGUGAACUCACCGGACACCCAAGAGCCAUCAGCAGCACCAUUAACAUGAGGCUGUGAGAAGCAACUGAAGACCUCGACCGGCACCCGGACGACUGUGUAGAUGAUUGAGAAAGCAAGAUUCAAUGCGUCCCUUCUUGAUCUUCUGUUCAUUCCAUGCACAAACAUUGGCAGCGGAUGAGCUCCAUUCAGCAUCGUCUCAUCCGCCACCCGCGGGCUCUUUCUUGGCCUCAACAUGCGCCACAUUUUUUUUUUCUCUAUGGAAAAUUUUAGAGUCUGUUGGUUGCUGCUGCUCCUUGUAUUGUGAAGAGAAAAUGGUUGCGAGGACCACCUAAUUUGUAUAUAGAGAGGGAGGGGAUCUUUUUGGCUUUUGAUGAUAAUGGCUAGUUGGUAGUGCUGUUGAUAGUGCUUGUGUUAAUCACAAAAUGUUAUGGGUCUCUUUUAAAGGACCCCUUCACUCAUAUUAUCAUUUUUUUUAUUCUUUCUAUCAAAUCGUGGGGUCGUUCUUGCCCAAUUUGCCGACAAAGUUGCCUAAUUAUUCAAAAGAAGUUUUCAAAAUUAAAAUCACUUCAUUUGGCAAAUGCAAAGAAAAAUUUUUUAAGAGAGACCUAACAGUUCAUGAAGCUUAAGACAAAAAGUGCACCUGAGUAAUCUUUGGAUAUCAAUUUUAGAUGACCAAUUGCUGGCUAAAUUUUGCUUAUCAUGCGUUAAAUUUUUUCCAGCUAUUCUGUAAUGAAAUGUAGAAUAUUUAUUUAAUUGACAUUGUUCGACAUGAACAUUUGUACGUUUUAAAAUAGAAAUUUGAGUUAGACAACAAUCUUACUUUAUAAUAUUAAAUUAUAGUUAAAAUAUCAUUGUAUAGCACAAAAUUACUUUUUAAAGCAUACAGAAAUCUAUACUUAAAAUGUUUUAAAUAUAUAUAUCAAUUUCAUUUUAACUGGACAAAUUAUUUUUGUAGUCUCCCUUUCUAAGGUCCUACUUUUAUUAGUCUCCAAGGGGAGAAUAAUACGUGCAAUAUGAUUGUGAAAGAGACCUGUAUGUCUAUGGUAUCAUUACAAGUAUUGCUCCACUAAUAGUGCUUGAAGCAAGUUGCAUAUGCAUGCCAAUAAACAGGUAAUUGAAUAAUUUUAUUUACAUUUAUGGAAAAAAAUAAAAAAAAAAGAAUGAGAAUGAUGAUAUAUGACUGAUGAUGAUCAUGAACCAUAUUUUAGUUGUCAUUUUCAUUGUCGCCUCUGGUUUUAUUUUAAGCCCACAUGUUAUUCCAUUAUUAAGAAACACUAUAUACUAAGGUUCAAUAUAAAUGGAUAUAUAAAUAAUUUUUGGAAUAAAUAUACAACAAAGCCAUUGAUGUCCAAAAAGGUGGACAUUUAAAAUAAUAAAAAAAAAAAAUAAAACAUGUUGAAAUGGAUUCAUUCAAUAAUGCUAAUACACUUGAUACAAAUUAUGCACUUUUUUUUUUCGUUUGUUUGAAACCUCCAUUUAUGUAAGACGGGAAAUUUAUUUUAAAACCUUCACUGAAACGGAAAAUGACUUUUAAUUAAUUUUCUUUUAUAAUGCUGCAUUCAUUUGUCUACAUUAUCUUCAUCAAUUAUAUAAUGUAAUAUGUUCGUGGCUUAUAGGAACACACUAGAGUCAUUAGUGCACCACCUUUACCCUCCAGAGACCACAUGAUUAGCAUCAAACCCUACAAGAAAAAAGUCGAUUAUAUAUUCUACCAAGUAUCAACAUAUACAUUUUGUUAAUUCAUAUUGCUAUAAUGGAUAUAUAAAAUUAAUCUUCCAAUAGCCUUAGGUGCUAUUGGUUGACAAGCGAUUACAAGUCAAAGUCAUCGGUCUCCUAGCCAAGUCAAUAAGUAUCUUAUAAGAAAAGGGUUAAUAAUUAAUUUUAAAAAAUCAUCAAAUAAGUAUGAAUUUUAUAUCCUUCAAGUAAAAAUAUUCUUGAGUACGAUUUUAUAAAAUCCUAAUAUAACGUGUGAAUGUAUGCAGAAGAGAAGUACUGAAUCUAUUUGCAAAUGAGAAAGAACUCAUUCAUACUGCAUAUGUACAUACAUACUCUAUAUAUAUAUACAUACUCUAUAUAUAUAUACAUAUAUAUAUAGUAUGUAUGUAUGUAUGUAUGUAUGUAUGUAUGUAUAUGGGUAUUCCUGUAAUCUGUAAAGGGAUAAAUAUCUUUCUCCGAGUAUUGGUGUGUUAUUGGAUGAGACACGCUUGCAAGGGUUAGGUUCUGUGAUGUCACAUAACAUUGUUCCAAUCUUUGUUUGUGAUUCAGAUUCAAUGGUCAAUUACGUAGAAAAUAAAGCGGCCCAUUAAUUAAUUUUUUUUACUUAAGAGAUAAUGGAAGGUUAUACCCAUAUAUACCAACAUUAAUUCUUCUGGACCUACCAGCUGAUAAUGUUAAAGAUUUGUAGGAAUAUGGAUGCAAUGAAUUAGGUGCUAGUGAUGGUGCCAUGGAUUAAGUAGGCAAAGAGAAAAUCAAUCUGAGAUGUAUAGAUCCUCAUUUGUUGGGGAGAUUUUUUUUUUUUUUUUUUUUUUUUUUUUUUGGGGUCCCAAGAACAUUCUUUGGUGAUAGAAGAAGAACGUAAAGAAGUUAGGUUGGUAUAUAUGAUAGUUAAGAAUCAAAAUCCAAAUAAAAAUAUGUUUCUUGGUUUCAUCAUAAUGAAACUCAUGAUGCUGUCUGUUCGUCUCUAUUACGACUCUAAAUUCUACUUUGGUUCGGAACAAAUAUAAUAUUAAUAUGUAGGAGAGUUCUUGGUCAGCACCGGUUUUGUUGAAGGUAUGUUCUAUCAAUGAGCUGCGGUCAUAAUCAUUAUUUUCGAAUUAAGAAACUACUAUCAUCGUUGUAUCAUAAGCUCUCAAAGAUUACAAUAAUUAAAUGAGAUGGAUAAUCUUCUAUCCAUACAAAUGAAUCUCAAUACUAUAAAGUAAAUUUCGUUAAAGAAUUUACUACUUGAUUGCAAAUCAUUGAGACAUGAUAAAUUUGAAAACCUUAAUUUGAAGUUAGCAAGUGUUGAAUGUCAACUAUAAAAUAAAAUAAUUAGGUACAAGUAAAAGUUUGACCCGUAACUAAUUUAACAACGUUUAAUGAAUUCGACUCUACUACUAAUGAAAAUAAACUAAUCUCACUAAUAGUAUUUGAGAAUUAUAUUUAAAAAGAAAAAAAAAAGUGAAAUCAUUAAAGAAACAUUCAUAGAUUUAUUAGAAGAUAAAUUAUUUGUCGUGAUUUUGUCAUCUUUUUGUUUCUUUAUCAUUUUUCUUCUAAAAACCAAAUUGCGAUUGCCCAUUCAUCAUAAAUAAAUGAAAUGGCAAAUAAAGGGGCGGGCCGAUCCACAUCACUGAGCGGACCACAAAUUUCAUGAGAAAUUGAAUCCAUUGGGCCGGGCCUUGGCCUGAUGUGAAGACCGUGUGGGCAGACAUGAUUUCUCUCGGAUGGGGUAGUUGGUAAAUGUGAAGUAUAGACUGAUACAAUCUACAUAUAAUUGAAUUAGGGCACAUCCUGUAUCGUUGAAUUGCCCUUUUAUCUUUGGCUAAAAAGUGCCAAGUUUUCCUCUGCACUAUUUGUUGGUGAAAUGAAUUGAUUUACGAAAUACAUCUUAACUUUAACAUUUGGCACAAGUUGCUUCGCGUCUCAGCAUUCGAUUGCUUUGAUUUAAACCAAGGGUUAGCGAGGCCGAUGUUAAUUAAAUGUUUCACUUAUUCCCAACUAAUUAUUUGUCCGUAUAUUAUAAUGAUCGCGGCCACUUCUUUCUUCUUUUUGCAGCAAGCUGUGUCAGCUCACCAAAUUUCCAUGUAAGCCAUUCAACUUGAACAAAUUAAGGAUUAAUGAAAUUAAGUUAAAACAAAAACACUUUAUAUCAUCUGUUGAUUACCUUCAACUGUUAAAUUAUUAAAUUACCUCUUCUUGUUUUGAUAUUCUCUGCGCCUCAUAAGUUUAAGAAUCUUAUUUUAGCAUAAACAAACGUUGAAUAUCAACAAGAAUGUAAAACAACUCAAUACAAAUAGAAAACUUCACCCAAAAUUAAGUCAUUAACACACAUAAUGAAUUUGACUCUACCAAUAGCAGAGAUAAACCAAUCUCAUUAGCAAGUCAUAUACUAAAGCAGAAAGCGUCAACCGUGAGAUCAUAAUAAUUGGUAUCAAAGGAUGAGUUAUAAUUACAUUAUUAAUGGUUUUAUACAUAUACAUGUAUAUGUAUGUAUGUAUGUUAUAAACUUUGAUAAUAGAAGAGAAGUUUUAUUAAUUAAAAUAAGAGUGCAUCUGAUUAUAGGGAAAUAAUAAGCCAUAUCUAUAUGGCAAAGACAAACAACAACAAUAAUAAAAUAUAACAUCCUCUUUUAUUUUUUAUUUUUUUAAGAAAAAUUCAUAUCUCGUAGAGCAUAUUAUUAUUCUUUCUUUUUCCUUUUUUUUUCUUUUUAAGUUAGCAUAAUGGUGUAACCCAAUUUUCAUUGUACCUUUGUGAAAAAAGUUUGAACUUCGUACCUGCUGGCACCUAAAUUAACGAGAUCCAUCAUUUUAAAAUGAGCAAUGCUAAAGAGAUGAGAAAAAUGAGAGAAAGACGAGAGAAAAUGAAAAAAUUUUACUCUCUCUCUCUACCCAGCCCACUUUCUCUCUCUUCAUUUUCAAUACACUUUCUCUGGUCUUUUUCUUUCUUUAGCAUUUUUCUUUUAAAAUUAAUCUUAGUUGAUGGGCCCCAGCAUUUUAUUAUUUUAUUAAUAAUAAAAACCAAACUGUGGCACUGUGCUCGUACAAUCAUCAUUCAUCAAUGAGAUGGCAAAUAAAGGACCGGGCCGAUUCACUUCAAUGAGCGGGCCACAAAAUUUUGGUGAGAAAUUAAAUUCAUUGGGCCGAGCCUUGGGCUGAUGUGAAGACUGUGCUGUCCAUCGGAUUUAAAUGGCGUUCCAAUUUUCAAAGACGUCAAAGAAGAAAGAAGUCAACAACAAAGCAAAAUUGGACUUUUAUUAUGUAAUCAAUUGUCAAUUUAUCAGACGGAGGACUUGCAAAUAAAUACAAAAUGAUUAAAAAACUCUUCCAGAUUGCAACCUCUCUGACAAAUUUGGACCCGUCUUCUUUUCUAGAAGACAUUUCUUCCACGGAAAUUCUACCCCGUUUACUCUUGACGUGUCCAAGCAUACACCAAUCUUUGAAAGUUUCAACCUGAAGUGUAAACGCUUGGAACUAGUGUGCUUGAGCUUAACUUAAUCUGAAAGUUAAUAAUUUAAUAAACACAUCCCUUUAUUUGAGAGUUGAUGUUACAAUUUAUCAACUUCAAAAAAUAAAAAUAAAAAUUUGUGAUACUCCGCUAUGAAAUCCAUCAACUACUCCUCCAUUUACUGCGGAUUCAUUUAUAGAAACUAUUCCUUCGUUUACCUUGGAUUCAUUUUUAGCUACGGAUUAAAUAUUCCCCAGCAAUUGCAAAUUCAAAGUCACUGGUUAGCCCCACCAAUAGAAUUGAAUAUUCAUUCUCUCAUACUUCUCCAGGACACGAAAUAAAUAAUGGUCACAUGCGGCUCUAUCGCAGACGAGGCAACAUGAUGGAACUUUCAUGCAGCUUAUGGAAUUUACAGUAUUUAACUAAAACCAAUAAUUGAUCCAAAAGCAACCUUAUUGUUUUUCAAUAACUUGCCUUGUACGCCAUAACUUGGAACAUUCUCCAUAUAUAAAGGUUCCUGAUUAGUUCAUGGCCAUUUCUCGCUUUCUGAAAAUGAAAUCUUGUAUUACAAGAAGUAAAUUCCAAGCCAAAGAAGCUGCUAAAGAAGAAGAUGGUGUAUUGGCAACUAAUUAUAAUGUGUCCAUGGAAGAUCUUCCUUUGCCAAUUCUUGUUGAUAUUUUCUCCAGGCUCCCAAUCAAGACCAUUCUUCAAAUCAAGUGUGUUUGUAAAUCCUGGCACAGCUUAUGCUCGGAUCCUUAUUUCGCCAAAAUACAUCUUGCAAGAGCACCAUUUUCAAUAAUGAUUCUCGAGAAGUUCUGUAAGAGGAUCUACACAAAUUCCCUAGUGCCCUUGUUUACAUUGAACCAAGGUGACAAGGAGAGGCUGUCUUUGCUAUCUUCAUGCAAUGGCUUGAUUUGCUUGCAUGAGUUUUCUUACAAGCAAGAUGUCAUUUCUGUGUGGAAUCCAAUUCUUGGCGAUCACUUGGUCCUUCCACAACCUAAAAGGAAAAGUGUUGCUACAAGAAUACGUGGCUUCGGCUACAAUCAGAGUACUAAUCAAUACAAGGUGAUUCAAAUUCUCAGUUACAAAGAUCAAGCAGCGAUUUCCUCCAGUAAGCUUCAGGUUGAAGUACAUACAAUUGGUACGAAUACGUGGAGAAACAUUGGAGACCUUCCGUAUGUACUUAAUCAACCAUAUUAUGGAGUUUUUCUGAACGGUGCUCUUCAUUGGUACGCUCAUUCACAUGAUAAGAGAACGGCGUUUAUGUGUUCUUUUGACCUUGGAGAUGAGCAAUUUCGACAAUUUCCAGGUCCCCCAACUCGAGAAUAUGACAAAUGUAGGCCCAUUAACAGCAUUUCUGUGGGAGUUUCAGGAGGGUUUCUGUAUUUAUGUGAUGGUUUCUUGGAACCUAAUCUUGAUAUUUGGAUAAUGAAGAAGUAUGGGGUGAAGGAAUCUUGGACUAAGGAGUUUGUUAUAGUCAACUCAGUAGUCUCCAAGUUGCAAAGGUUAUAUGGAUCGUUGCAAAUUCUGAAUUACAGAGAGAAUAUGAACAAGGAAGCAACCGAAGGAACUGAACUGCAAAUGUUAUUUGGUUCAGAAGCUCUGCUUGCUUACAAUGUAAGAAGCAAAAGCAUCAGAAGACCAAAAGUUUUCGGCGUUCAGACAAACUACCAAGCGAUUCCUUACAUUCCUAGUCUUGUUUCAAUCAAAAAAGCUGCAAUGAACGAAAGCUCACAGAUGCUCUGAUCCUAAUCAAGGUUUUCUACUUACAAAUGUCAUUACAGGUUUAUUGUUUUUAGAACAUUAUUAAUUAAUUUAUUUAUUUAUUUGUAAGGAAUUAGCAUUCCGAAAGAAUAUUUGAACGAUGGAUCCAUAAAACCGAAAAUUUCAUCAUGCUCUCCCUCUCUUUUCACAUCAAUUUGUAUCAUCAAAAUCCCACUUUGCUUGUUUAAUCAUCGGCGUUUUUAAUUUAAGACUUGUUGCCGCAAAUCUCUGCCAAGUUGAUAUCUUAUUUUAUGGGAAACAGAGUAGGAGAAGCAGCGGCCGGCUCAUUAAUUAGCUCACAAAAUACGGACCGAUAAGCACAACGGAGCCUCUUCCUGGGAGAUUAUCCCUGACAUUCAAUCAAGGCUGCCCAUAACAUCUAUACUACAAUCAAAUAAUCAAUCUUGUUUGCUAAGCCUGGCUCUGCUUAGAACAAGACCCUCUUCUUGUUUCCACGCAUUUCUCACGUCUUUCAGGAGUUUGAUAUGAUUGUGUGAUUCACUAACAAUAAACUAUCUACAUAUAUAAUCCAUUCUCCGGGGACUACAUAGAACUGCCCAGAUCAGUACAAUUCCAGAAUCAAGAUGUGAUGUUUGGUUUUGGAUUCAAAGGAGUACCAGGUUUUCAAGGUUGUCUAUUACAGGAUACCAAGUAGAAUCCAUCGCAUUUUUUAUGACAUGAUUCCUGUAAGAUCAGAUGUUCAUGUUUCCACAGCCGGCAGCCCUGCCCGGAGAAGUUUAUGGCGAACACCUUCCGAUAUUUUUCCAGGAGCCAUCACAGGUUUUUGGUUAAUUGGAGGAAUAAAUUGGUUUACUCAGCCAGAAAAAUAGUCCAAGCCGGUGAAUUUAGUGGACUGCCUUUCUGCUGCAAUCCCUUGCAAAUAUGGGAAAUUAGAGAUUUUGGGUUAUGAAGAAUUAUGGUGAUAUGAAACUCAGAAAUGGAAGUAAUGCUUGAAAUAGAUCAAUUUGAGUGUGGUACACCUGAUUUAACAAACUUUUAGUUAACGUUCGGCAGGGAAAAAUGGAUCAAUACUGUCAAAAUUUGUCCUUGUUAAUUGGUACAUACCAAACAGAAAAGCGAAAAUACCAUUUUCCAUAGGAAUUAUCGAAGGAAUCAAUCCGAGAAAACAAGCUUCAUCGUGAGUUCAAAUGUUUUCAUAAAACUAUGAUGUGAUCAUAGUUCCAUUUUAAUUGCAUCUUGAUUCCUAAUACUCAUCCAGUAUCAGCUCAAAAAACUUCCAUAGACCUAUAAGCACAAUGGAGCAUCUUCCGGCGGAGAUUUCCUUGACAUAUUAUCAAGGCUGCCAGUAACAUCUAUACUGCAAUUCAUGCUUGUAUGCAAAGCCUAGAACAAGUUAACACACAACACUCUUCUUGUUACAAUGCAAUUUUCGCGCAUGGGCGAAAAUGACCCAUGUCUCAUCUUACACUGUGACUAUACAGUUCGAAACCAGCUUUAUUCUUUGGAGCUCCCAUCUUACAAUGAAGACAAUCAAAGGUAUAUAAAAUCAGAUUUUCUACGUUGCCAGAGUUUUCUAUAGUCGGAUCAUGUAAAGGCCAAAACAACAAAAAGUUUACACUACAUGAAUAUAAUCCCUCACCUGGACUACGUAGAGCUUCCCAAAUCCAUAGAUUUCAAUUAUCAAUAUGUGGUGUUUGGAUUUGGUUUUGAUACAAUAUCAAUUAAGUACAAGGUUGUCAAGGUUCUUUAUUAGAGGGAUCCGCGUAGACAUCACCACUAUCUUAGCAGAAUCAUUCCACCAACACCUGAGGUUCAGGUCUUCACCUUGGGCAGCCCAGCGUGGGGAAGGCUUGGACCUUACCAUUUUCUUCAGAGCCCAUCACCGGUUUUGGUCAGCGGAAUGCUUCAUUGGUGUACUUGGCCCCAAAAAUAUGGUCCAUGUCGAUUGCUCAUCUCCCUUGACCUAGCAGAUGAGCGAUUUCGAGUUGUCCCAAAACCUGAUUGUGGUGGCUUAGAGAGGUGUUAUUUUGACUUGGUGAAUUUAGGGGUUACUUGUCUGCUGUUGCACAUUGCAAAUUUAGAAUAUUUGAGAUCUGGGCUAUGAAGGAUUAUGAUGCGAAGGAGUCUUGGAUCAAGCAAUUUAGCAUUGGAAUUCACGUGCCAAGCGGAUUGGAACAAGAUUUGAGUCAAUCCUUCAGGGAUUCAAAGUUGUACAGGAAUAUCUCAUUUGUUUCAUGUCUCUUACCUUCUUAAAAAUGGAGAUAUCUUGCUGGGGUAUAAAUGCACCAAGAGAUGGAAUAUCUAAGGAUCUAUUGCUCCCCGGAAUGCCUAUUUGGUUUGAAGCUAGUGUUCACGAGGGAGCCUGAGUUGGAUUGACAGUUUUAAUUGAUAAUGGCAUAUAAAAUGUAAGCCAAUGCUUCUUUCCUUAGUGAGUUUGCUCUUUAUUAAAUAAAAAUGUUUGGUUCAAUGUUGAUACCUAGUUCCCGUUUUUCAGCAUUCAUUUCUUACUUUCAGAGUUUGAAAUUGACGAUUUACUAGAUAAUGUUUAAGCAGCUACAGAAGCAUCAAUUAAUUUGAUCAAAAUCUUUAUGGACUCUCAAUAUCACAAAGAAAUAAAUUUAGAAUUCUCUCAAAAUUAUAACAGAUUAACAAAUUUCUUGUGGCCCCGCUGCCGUAUCAACAGCUUAAGAACACAUUACCACAGUCGGGGAUUUUUUUUUAAGUGUUUGGCCAGCUGCGUUACCAGCAAUGCUCUUUUAUGAUCGAGAUAUCUUUUUGUCAUCUUCAGCAUAGAUGACAAAAAGAUAAGGAGAUUGUCCCUGGUUUAACAAGCUCUCUAUUAGACAUUCGACGUACAGCUGUUUUUUGAAUAAAUUAUACCUCUUGUAUCAAUCAUUUACAAAAGAGUCCAAUUUAAUUUGGUCCGUAUCAAACAUCAACCUUCAUGAUAAUUAUCAAAUGUAUUAAUCCAGAAAAACGAUCCUCGUCGUAGACUCCGUCUCCGUUUUAUAUUAAUUUGAUGUUAUCAUUGUUCCACUUCGUUUACUUUCCCCUUCAUUUUCAUUUUAAGACCUGUCCUCCUGAUUCUCUGGCCGGCAGGACUCAUGUAUUGCCAGAGACAUAGCAAGUGAGGAAACAACAAAUCUUAAGAAGCACUCAUAAACCAAGCAAGCACAAUGGAAUAUCUCCCGCAGGAGAUUGUCCUUGACAUAUUAUCAAGGCUGCCCGUAACGUCACUACUGCACUUCAAGCUUGUAUGCAAAGCCUGGCUCAACACUGCACAAAACCCUCUGCUUCCUAGUUUGCAAUUUUCCCGCAUGGCCAAGAAUGAUCCAUGUCUUAUCUUGCACUGUGACUACCCCAUCCGAAACCAGCUCUACUCCUUUGAGCUCUCAUCUCGUGAUGAAGAUAACCAAACGGUUCACCAAAUCCGGGUACCUGCCUUGCCUGAAUUCGAUGUGGUAGGAUCAUGCAAGGGCUUGCUGUGCUUAUGCGAUUCAUCAACAAAAAAUCGACUGUACGUGUAUAAUCCUUUUACUAGGAACUAUGUAGAGCUGCCCAAAUCAACAGAGUUCCAGAAUCAAGGUGUGGUGUUUGGAUUUGGUUUCCAUCCAACAACUAACAAGUACAAGGUUGUCAAGAUUGAUUACUGUAGGAAAACACACGGAAACCACCGCUAUUACCGCGGUUAUGGAAAAUCAGAGGUUCAGAUUCUCACUUUAGGCAGCCAAGAAUGGAGAAGUCUUGGGCAAGUAAAUUACCACAUGUUGGAGGCGCCAUCACAAGUUUUGGUCAAUGGAAGACUUCAUUGGUGUACCUGGCCACGAUACCGUGGUCCAAGUCGCUUGCUAAUCUCCUUUGACAUUGCAGAUGAACAAUUCCGGGUAGUCGAGAAACCUGAUGAGCUACACAGGAUCCACUAUGACUUGGUGAAUUUAGGUGGUUGCCUUUCUGCCGCCGUCCCUUGCAGUUCUGGGAAAGAGAUUUGGGUUAUGAAAGAGUAUGAUGUGAAGGAGUCUUGGAUCAAGGAAUACAACAUUGGAAUUCAUGUGCCAAGAGGAUUGGAACAAGAUUUGAUUCCAUCUUUCAGGGACUCAAAGUUCUUUAGGAACAGAAGCUUCGUUCGAGUCUUGUGCCUUCUGAAAAAUGGAGAAAUCUUGUUGGAGUAUAAAUGUAGAGCUUUGGUUUCUUACAACCCAAGAAAUGAAAUGUUUAAGGAUCUUUUGCUACAUGGGAUGCCAAACUUGUUCGAAGCUAGUGUUCAUGAGGGCAGCCUCAGUUGGAUCGACUCUUUCAGUGAUAAUGAUUUAUAAGCAUAUAAUCUAAGCUAAUGCUUAUAUUCUCAGUGAGUUUGCUCUUUAUGGAUUAAUAAAAAAGAGUAUGAUUCUAACGGUUUAUGGAGUUUUUGUGACGUGUCGUGUAGAUUUUCAGAACAUUGAAUUAUUUAAAUAAAUUUGGUUAAAUUUUUUUUUAUGAAACAAGAAAGCUGAUUUGAUCAAGGAAACACUAUUAAAUUUGCAAUUUAGGAACUCAAGUUGUGUUUGAUAAAUUGUAUUAUAUUAUUUUAAAUUGUAUUAAUACUGUCUGUUACAACGUUUCUUAUCAUUAUUGAUAAUUUCCAUGUUAAUAUCUUUCUUAUUUGUUGUUGUUAAAUUAAUAUUUAAAUCCAACACCUGGUUGAAGAUGCUCCCUUAAUAGACGUUUGGUACCUAUAAUUUGAAAUAAAUUAAGGGAAAAGGAAAAAAGGGAAAGUGACAUAUUUGUCACUCCCGUUAACCUUGGAGCAGUGAUAAGGUCGGUCGCCCAAACGGGCAACUGACACACGAGCCAUUUGUAUGUUGGACAUGUGUCCAUUUCUCUUUCUUUCUUUAAAUCAUAUAAAGUAACUUUUAUCUCGUUCUCAAUAAAAUAUUUAGUUAAAUUGUUUACCAACCUUUUUCAAUGAAAUUGCAUUCAAAAUGCCACGUUACUUCUUUAUUUUGUUAUUUAAUUGCCCUUAAUUUUUCCAAAAAUACCAAAUACUGGAUUCCACCUGGUUCCCACCUUCAAAAGCACAAAAGUUGCAGGGCAUUUUUAGAUGAAAAUUUUAUUUUGAAAUUAUCAUCUCAACAGCCACCAACAAGGAAUUAAUUGUUUGGAGAAGUUACAAGUCUUUUUAGUAAAUCCCUUUUACAUUUCCUUUAUAAAAUAUCUUUUUAUAAUGUAAUUUAAAUUACAUUAGGUUUUUUUUAUUAUUAGAAAAAUUAUUAUUCAUUCACUUUAAGUUUAUCAUGUUAUAAAAAAAUAUUAUAAAAAUUUGAAUUUAUUUAAUUUCCCAUCCUGAUCUACCAAAAGGACAUAAUUACUUUUAUUCAAAUGACAAAAUAAAAUUAAAUACAUAUUGUGGUAGUAAUUAUUUUAUGAGAGUAAUUAUAUCUUUUUUUGUGGAUGGUUUUAUAAAUUGUAAAUUUAUAGUGAAAAAUAAAACAGAUUCAAAAUUUUGCAGUAUUUUUUUAAUAAUGGGACAAAUUUAAGAUAGAUAACUGAUAAUUCCCUAUAAUUAUUUAAAAUAAGAAAUGCUGCUGUCAUUUUUUUCUAUACAAAUUUGGUGUCUUUUGUUUUUGUUAAUUAAUAUUGAUCAUUUAAUGUAGCAAAAAUUUUUAUAUUUAUUUUCUAUUUAUAUUAUAAACAUUGAGUUUUUUUUACAUACAAUGAAGUUAGUAAACUGAAAUUGUUUCUGUUGACUUGUUGAAGUGCAGGUGUUCAUUUGCUAUAUAUGAUUUUUCAAAAUCUUUUAUUUAGAGAGAGAGAAGCUUCUCUUUAAUGGGUAAUUAAGUUACAAAAAAAAAAAUGAAGCCGGUGCCAUUUUGAAUGUAAUUUCACUGAAACUAGUGGGUAAAUAAUAUAACUAAAUAUUUUAUUGACAACGAGGCAAAAGCUGUUUAAUGUGAUUUAAAGAAAAAAAAAGAGCAGUGGACACAUGUCCAACUUACACAGAGUUUACCAAUAGGCCUUUGGUCCAAUGGGAGAAGCCUUGCACUUACAAUGUUGAGUGCAAGGGUUCGAGCCUCCAUAAGAGCAUUAUGGAGGUUAGUUUCAGUUCUUCCUCAAUUAUCAAUUAAUUGAGUGGAGACAGUCUCUCCCUUACGAAAUGUGAGUAGAGCAGGCACCCCUCGAAUAUUAGAGAGGGUUUAAAAUAUCUGGGCAUAUACUUCAGUGUGUCAAUGUAUGAUGGUGGUCCCAGUUAUAUAGUAUGAUUGUAAAUAUUAAUUGUAAUGUCUGAUGUAAUGUCAGUAAUAUCUGUAUAUAACAGACUUAAAAAAAAAAAAAAAAAAAAAAAAAACUUAAAAAAAAAAAAAAAAAAAAAAAAAAAAAAAAAAAAAAAAAAAAAAAAAAAAAAAAAAAAAAAAAAAAAAAAAAAAAAAAAAAAAAAAAAAAAAAAAAAAAAAAAAAAAAAAAAAAAAAAAAAAAAAAAAAAAAAAAAAAAAAAAAAAAAAAAAAAAAAAAAAAAAAAAAAAAAAAAAAAAAAAAAAAAAAAAAAAAAAAAAAAAAAAAAAAAAAAAAAAAAAAAAAAAAAAAAAAAAAAAAAAAAAAAAAAAAAAAAAAAAAAAAAAAAAAAAAAAAAAAAAAAAAAAAAAAAAAAAAAAAAAAAAAAAAAAAAAAAAAAAAAACUUACACAGAGUUUGGGUGACUGACCGGUCUCAACCUUUUGCAGCAAAUAGUCAAACGUUCGUUCUUAUCAAAGACCAUCUACAUGAGCAUCAGCAUAUGGAUCGAUCCAGAAAAGCAAUCUUCCUUGCUUGUGCCGUCACCUUUUAUAUUAAUUUCCCCCAAUCAAUCAUACUCCCACUUUGUUUUCUUAUAUCUUCAUAAUUCAAUGAUUACUGAGAUCUCAUGUAUUUUCAAAAACACGGCAUUAUAGCAACCAAUAAGAGCAAAAACAUUCAUAAACCAACAAGCAUAAUGAAUUAUCUUCCACAAGAGAUUGUCCUAGACAUACUAUCAAGGCUCCCCGUGAUACCAAUACUGCAAUUCAAGCUAGUAUGCAAAGCCUGGCUCCACACAGCACAAAACCCUCUGCUUGCUAGUAUGCAUUUUGCCAACACCGGCAAAGAUGACCCAUGCCUCAUUUUAAAUUGUGAAAAUCCCAGCCGACAACAGCUUUAUUCUUCGGAGCUAUCAUCUCGCGAGGAAGAAAAUCAGAAGGUGAACAAAAUUCGUGUUCCCACUUUGACAAAAUUUUUAUUUUCGGUGUAUUAAAUUAUUUGGUAUUCGAAAAUUAUAUUGGGCCCCGACUAAUUCAAUUUCGAGCUGGUAGGACCAUUAGGGUGGUAAAAUUCUCCCAACAAAUAUUUAAUAUAGUUACAUUCCCAAGUCUCGAACUGAUAAUCUUAGUAAAGAUAAAACAACCACAUAUCAGCUAAUUUACAUGCCUGUUGGUUCACUUUGCCUGAAUUUGAUGCGCUAGGAACAUGCAAGGGCUUUCUGUGUUUAUGUGAUUCAUCUAUGAAAAAUGAACUGUGUGUAUAUGUUGGAGAAAAAUCGAUUUUUAAAAUUUUUAUAAAAACUUUUAGGACCGAUCUCAUACAAUACAUAGGAAUUCAUAAUCUAGAAAAUCAUAUAUUGACAAUCUGAUUUGGCUUUUUCGCUGAAUUAAUCUAGGCUCUCAAAUCACGAUUUGUCACCACCACUCUUGUUAUAUCGCGAUCAAUCACCACCAAUCUUGUUAGAUCACGAUAUGUCACCAAUGAUCUUCCAAGUUUUGACGCAAGUUUAAUCUGCACUUGACGUGUGGGCGCCUUUAUCACCACUAAAAGCAACUAGUAAGAGAAAAUAUUCCUCUCAAAAUUAGAGAGAGAAAAUCUAUUUCUUUGAUCUGUAUAAUGUGGCUGCUACUUCUUUUUGGGAGAAAACAAACCUUUUUUUUUUAUCUGAACCACGAGGUGGUCCUGAGUGGGCCCCAAUUAUGGGAGGGACCUUUAAACUCGUACCAAAACCUAGACUAAUCCCCGCUCGCAUCAGGUCGGCCCGUAAGGGGAGAAAACUAGCCUUUUAUAUAUUUAUUUAGUGGAAACCAUAGGCUCCAUAUUUAUUAAUUUUUAAUGCUAUUAAAUCACAUUUGAUUUAAAUUUAAAAGUUAUAAAACCAAAAGUAACGUUAUUUCUUUUUGUUAUAGAGGCCCACCUUGUAAAAUAAUAUAAGACCCCUACACACAAGUAUAUUUUAUGGAGCCUCCCACUAAAUAAUAUAUUUAGGUUUUUAACCCAAAUAGCUAGUUAUCUUACUUAUUAAUCCAGUAGCAGCGCAAUCAAUUAAAUGAGGUAACUCGUAGAUCAUAUGGGUACAUACAAUAGUGACUACAAUAAUUAGGCCUAUAAUUAAACUAGUUCAAUUAUUUAAUUCCAAAUCUACUCCACUAAAAGAUUGGAAUUGACCUCCAUAAUUGUAUGCUAUCUAGGAUAGUGUUUUCGAAUAAUAAUUCGACCCAUGUCACAUUUAUUUCUUUACUGUAUAAUCAUUUGUAUCACAUCGUUAAUUAAAUUGAUAUCUCAAUUGUCCAAUCAAUUUAAUUACAUUUUGUUUCUUGAUACUUAUUGGUUUUCUCUAAUGAUCAUUUUCAACAUACUAAAUAUGUUGAGUUUAGUAUGUUGACACACUCUGACCAGAGAAUUCUAUGAUCAAGUACCAAAAACUCAUCAAGAGAUGUGUUGUACAAAUUCUAUAGUAUUAAUCUAUAAGUCUAAUACUCAUAAUUGCUUCUACCAAAAUACCGAGUAAUCUUGACUAAAAGUGUGUGUCGUGCCCAUUAGUUACUCAAAUGGAAUAACAAUUACAAUCAUGAAAUCAUAACUAACUCAAUAUUAAGAUUACAGUAAAAUCAAUGCCUAUGAGAUUUAAUAAAUCUGAUAAUUAUUACAAAGUUAAUUAAAUCUCAUAUGUGAUCAUGUUUAAUAUAGUCGUACUACAUCAACAUACAUGAUUAAGACAAAUCAUUCAAUGAAUUUAUUACAGUCUAUACCUUGAUAAAGUGCCCAACUUUAUUUAUCAAUUGCGAACUUAAUUUAUUUAAUUAUAAGAUAACUUUUAUUUAUAUUUUCUGUGAAUCGACAUAGUGAUCACAUAAAUACAUAUAAUAUGACUAAAUUGACUUUACUUAAAAUAUUAAUGCAAUUAAGAUACUUGAAUAAAAUACCUCAUUUAUUUUAUUAAUCAGAAAAAUUGUUUAUUACUAUUAACUAAACAUAUAUACUUUUAAAGAGUAUAUUUUCCCAACAAUAUACAAUCCAUUUACUAUGGACUACUUAAAGCUGCCCAAACCCCAGAUUUAGAUUUCAAUAUUCAACAUGUGGUGUUCGGAUUUGGUCUCCAUCCAACAUCAAACGAGUACAAGGUUGUCAAGAUCGCCUAUUAUAAAAUACCCGAGGAGAAAUGAAAUUGCCACUUAUGGUUAUUGGAAAUCAGAGUUUCAAUUUCUCACAAUAAGUAGCCAAGCCUGGAGAAGUUUAGGGAGAGAACAUUACUAUUUGAUCCAGGGGCCAUCACAAGUUUUAGUCAACGGAAGACUUCAUUGCUUUCAUUGGUGUACUUGGCUACGUGGUUCAUGCCGCUUGCUUGUCUCCCCUUGACAUCGAAGAUGAACAACUCCGGGCGGUCCCGAGACUUGAAGGGAAAGGAUUAUUCAGGUGCAAUUUUGAUUUGGUGAAUCUAAGGGGUUGCUUUGAUGUAGGUGUCCCUUGCAAUAAUGGGACAUACAAUAUUUGGGUUACGAAAGAUUAUAAGGUGAAGGAGUCUUGGAUCAAGGAAUACAGCAUUGAAAUUCAAGUACCACAAUGACUCAAAAGAGAUGUGAUUGGAUCUUUCAGGGACUCAAAAGUUGUGGAAUAGCACAUUGCUUCGAGUCAUGUGCCUUCUGGAGAUACUGUUGCAGUACGGAUACAAGUCUCCGGUGUCUUAUAACCCAAGAAAUGGAACAUUUAAGGAUCUUUUGUUCCUUCGAAUACCUAAUCGGUUUGAAGAGUAUGUUCACCAAGGAACCCUUAGUCGGAUUAAAAAUCUCACCGAUACCUAAUGCUUCUUUUCUCAACUUUUAUUCUUUUUUUUUAGGGAAAUUUAUAACCGUCCACCUGUUUGUUUUGCCUUUUUUAAAAAUACACAAACACUUUUUUUUUCCAGCGCGCCACCUGAAGUUUGCUUUUUGUUGCAUUCGUCCACUUCCGUCUAAUUUCCGCUAGCGAAUUUAACGGAAUGACCUUUUUACCCCUCAAAAUUACAAUUUAACCCAAAAUAAAUAGAAAUUGGAAAUAAAUUGGAUGAAUUUAAAUUUUUUUAAAGGUGGAUGCUAGAAAUUGGAGGAAAAUAAUGUUUGUUACUAAAUUUAGAAAAUUUGUAUUUAUUUUUUUGGACGAAAAUAGUGUUUGUUGCUUGCUAGAUUUAGAAAAUUUGUAUUUAUUUUUUCUCUUUCAAAAAAAUAAAUACAAAUUUUCUAAAUUUAGUAACAAACAAAAAAAAAAAAGUGUUUGUGUAUUUUUGAAAAAGACAAAAUAAAUAAGUGGACAAGUGUAAAUUUUCAUUUUUUUUAAUAUUAUAAAGAAUCAAAUAGGCUGAGAACUAGCUGUUCAGCUUCAAUUUAUCGGCCCUCAUGACCUUCAUUUACCUUAAAUAUUUGCGACCAUUCUUGUAUGUGAUUUUGAUUUUCCUUGAAUUGCUGACAUUUGUAGAAUGAUUGAUAAAAAACAAAAAGAUGUCAUGUAUGAAAUUAGUGAAUAACUUAUACAUUUCUUUAUCAAACCAGUAAGACAUGACCAAAUUAACUCCACUAAGCCGGCAUUGGCCAAUGGCAAUUGCUCACUCCAAAAUUGAGGGCACUAGUUUGAAUCUUGUUAUUGGAUUUAGAUCCAGUUUUGAGUUUAUUUAUAUUCAACUUUUCAUAAUCUUUUACCAUAUGUGUUUAUAUUAAAAUUACAAUUAAUAAUUUAUUGUUCAUAAUUAAGAAUAUUAAUAAUUAUAAUAAAUUUACAAAUAUAAUAAAAUAAAUAUUAUUCAUUAAAUAUAUUUUUUAUUAGUUUUGUAAUUAAAAACUAUAAUUCUUUAAAUAAGGAUAAAAUUGUAAUUUGAAACUAUUUACUCCCAAUCCAAGACAAAGUAAACACAUAAAUUGGAUUCUGAUCUCUACUCCAUACUUCCAUUCCAGUGUAAGUAAACAACCUACUCCCACUCCCACUCCACACUCCCACCCCAGAAUUCCCAAUCCAAUCCAAAAAGUAAACGCUACCUUAAGGGAUUCAACAAAAGUUCUCUAUCGAGAUUAAUAUUUUCUCGAAUAUUAGUGAGAUAAGAUAAGUGUGAGAAUAUUUCUUAGCAUAUAAAUGUAUGAUUUCAAACUAUAUUAGUAUUAUAAUAAACGUAACCAUAACAAUUAAAAAAAAGUGACAAAAUUAACAAAAAUUGAAAUUAUUUAGGAAAUCUAUGCUGUUUAGUUUGGAAUUUGAACAAAAUAUCUAAAAGUUAAUUUUUCUUAAUGUGGAUUAAGUUCUCAUUAUUUUGUGCUUGACUUAAUUUGAAACCCAAAGAACAAAAUUUUCACAAAAUUUUCAAGUUAGAUUUGUCAAAUCAGUCGUUUACUAUUUGGCUAAAAGAGUUUCCUCUGGAAGUCUCUAAUUUAUUAUAUUGAAUUGUCAAUUUAUUAGGACAGAAAUAAUUUUUUUUUAAAAAAUCGAAUAAUACAAAUUAAACUGAUUUAUUAUUUCAAUUUACCAAAACGUAUUUAACAAUUUGCUUACAAUUAUGUCAAUUUUUUUUAAUUCGGAAGAGCCGCUACUGCGAGUUAUCUGCAAGCACGUGGACUAUUCGCACCAUUGAAAAUUUAGACUAGCGACUCACCCACUCUAAAAAAAUCAUUUAAAAAACGUGCAUCUGCUAGUUAGAUCGUGAUUAUAUACCGGCAGGAGAUGACAUCAUGAUGAUGGUUUUUUUUUUUUAAUCACAACAGCAAAAUACAUUAUUACUGCCGCACUUAAACAAUAAUCUCUCAUUAUAAUAAUCUAAUUCAUGUAAUAAAUACGUAAUCGUCGAUUAAAUCAUCGUGUGACAGCAAAAUGAUAAGAUAAAUCAUUAAUGAAUACGUGAUUAUUUAUUAUAAAUAUGUUAUAUUAUUAAGAUACAAAUUUAACGUUUCAACUUUAUUUAUGCAUAACAUCAUUUGAAAAUACACGGUAUUUCUUCCGUGCAAAUGCUCUUUUGUGUUAAAAAAUACAAAUAAGACACGAACAUUUAUCGUAUAUUUAUUAAUUUGUAAUUGGAAUGAGUUGGAAUCUUAAUGGGAAAUGAGAAUCAGAAUAAAUUGUUUAUCUCAAAUGUAAGAAUUAGAAUUAGUUUACUGUUGAUGUGUUUAUUUUGUUUUGAAAUUGAAAUGAAUUGUUAUAAGUUACUAAAUGAUCUUAGUUGAUUAUUGCAAUAUUUAUUAUAAUAAUAGUAAUUAUUAUUAUUAUUCAAAAUAAUUAAUAAUAAUUAUUAUUCUUAUUAUUAACAACAAUUAAAAAAUAAGAAUAAUAAGAAUAAUAAUGACAUAGUAGUAUUUUAAUUGAGGGCAAAAAUGAAAUUAUGGAAUUUAGAUAGGAUAAAAUGAGUAGUUUAAGAAAUGAGAAUUUGAUUCAUACGGGGAUGGAAAUUAAGUUCUCAUUUCUCAAUUCCAAAAAUAUAUAAGUCCCACAUAUUUUAUUCUCAUUCAUAUUACUAUUUUAACAAGUAACCAUCUUCGGUUAUUCUCAUUCUAGAUUCUGAUUCUUUUAUCUAGAAAGCAAGCGAACCAUUAGAAUGGAAUUACAUAAGCGUCGAGUUGGGUCAGUUCGGACUCUCAACCCACAAACAGUUUUAUUUUUAUUUAUAAUUUAAACUUAUAAAAUAGAUAUAUUUAUGAAACGCUGCUGAUAGUUUUAGUUUGUGAUACUUUACUCAGUGAUAUCCCUUCUUCUUUUUUUAAGACUUCGAACCCAAUAUCUUUAUUUUUCAAUCUUUUAGUUCCCAUUGGUUUAACUGUCAAUAAAUUUUUUCCCAUAUAUUUUGACAGUGUUAAAUUUUUACCUCUCUUCUUUUAUCACUUCCACGUAUUGGUAGUCAUUGACAUGAUUUAACACACCGGAGCUGUUACUGGGUUUUCCUGGUAGAUGACUGUAGGCCAGCAGCCGGCGGACGUGGAGCUAGCCUACAGUGAAAUUCCAUUUUUAACUAUCCGGAGCUUUUUUUGAAAAAACUGUUUGUGAUAUUUGAAAUUAAAGGAUUCUCAAAAAGAAAGAAAGAAAAAAAAAACAAAACAAAUCAUACGUUGCUCUCGGUGAGAUUUGUCUCGUACCCACCACUUAUUUUAAGCAAAAAAAAAAUAAAAAUAUUUUUAAUCUGGCCAACUUGCAAGGCGCUAGGUGAUGCAUCAAACGCAGAAAAUCAUCAGGAACUUUCGGGCUGAGUUUCAAUUUUCAAUUGGCAGGUAGCCAGAAGGAGGCAUCAGUCCCUCUGUCAUUUUGCUUAGUGUUUGGUUUCUUCUUCUCUUUGUAAGUAUCACCGGGCUACCAGACUUUUUUAUUUUGUUUAGCUUUUAGACUUUUUUAUAACGUCAUGGGCCCCCCUUUUGUACAGAAACUUUCAACCCCGUGAUUAUUAACGGAGUUUGGAAAAUGCUGCACUGGGUGCACUGUGGACGCAACUCAAAGAAAAGAAAAGAAAAGAAAAGGAGAGAAAAUAAUAAUAAUAAUAAUAACAAAGCUUCAACCUUUUGAAAAUUUUCAUUAUAUAUAUUUACAGCAUUAUUGAUCAAUCUUUUGUUGCUAAAAAAUACUUUCAAUGCUGCCUAGUCACUAUCAGUAGGGACAGCCAUCCAUUUAACAUGGAAUUGGAUUCAUUUCAUAAAAAUUUUGCGGUUUAUGCACUCACAUUAUGAACGGUGCUGAUUGUUAGGUCCAUCAAGAAAGAAACCAAAACUAAACAUCUUUUUUUUUUUCUUAUUUUCAAGAGAAUUAUUCAAAGGUGGAUUCUUCUUGUUCUUUUCGUCUCUCUCCUCUUUUUUUAUUUAUUAUUAUUAUAAUUUUAUUUUGAUCUCAUCAAAGUCUACAUGUUUAUCUUCAACCCCUUUUAAUUUUUCAUCACCUAACCCCUUUGCUUUUAACUCAAUUUAUUCAUUUAACGAGCUACCAAAGCUACCAGGCCCAAGCCAUGGAGUUGGAUGUUAAGCAAAAGGUGAACAAAAGAAGCAAGCUUGAAGAUGAUCAUCAACAAGCAACCGGGAUGGAAACUCUACCUCGAGAGAUCGUGCUCCAUAUAUUGCUGAGGCUCCCGAUCACAUCUUUGGUACAGUUCAAGUUUGUGUGCAGAGCUUGGAGAGCCUUGGCGCAAGACCCUCUUCUUGCUAAUCUGCAUAAUACUACAAGUACAAGCAAAGCUGAAAAGAAUCCGUGCCUCAUCCUUCACUGUGACUUUCCCAUCAGAAACCAGCUCUGCUUUAUUGAUUUUUCAGAUAACCAAGACAAGGUAAGGAAAUUUAACAUGCCUUUCCAAGCUAAGAUGCCCGAGUUUGAUGCUGUAGGUUCAUGUAACGGUUUGCUUUGCCUGUCUGAUUCAUUAUUUAAUGAUGCAAUCUGCAUAUAUAAUCCUUUUACUAGAGAUUAUAUUGAGCUGCCCAAAUCUAUGCAGUAUCCUGAUCAAGAAGUUGUAUUUGGAUUUGGAUUCCAUCCUGUUAGUAAAGAGUACAAGGUGAUUAAGAUAGUUUAUUAUAGGAAAUCUUGUAGUAAUAGUAGUUUCCAACGUACCCGUAGGGUCAUUUAUCCCAGAUCAGAUGUUCAAGUCUAUACUGUAGGAAGCCCUGCCUGGAGGAGUAAGGGGAAAUUAGCAUACCAGUUUGUCCGGAGGCCAUCGGAGGCAUUGGUGAAGGGGAGGCUUCAUUGGGUGACGAGACCUCGGAGAUAUAGUCCUGUUCGUGGAAUCGUGUCGUUUGACAUAGCAGAUGAGCAAUUCCGCGAGGUCCCUAAACCUGAUUGUGGUGGUCUGAAUAGGUGUAACUAUCAUCUGACAGUUCUAAGUGGUUGUCUUUCUGUAGCAGUUUAUGGCAAUUAUGGGAAACUGGAGAUUUGGGUUAUGAAAGAUUAUAAUGUGAAGGAAUCUUGGGCUAAGGAAUUAAACAUUGGAGCCUAUAUCCCUAAGGGACUAAAACAAAGUCUGGACAGACCUUUGAAGAUCUGGAAGAAUUCUUUGAAUGGAAGAGUUGUUCGAGUUGUAUGCAUUCUGGAGAAAGGUGAGAUCUUGUUGGAGUACAAGAGCAGAGUUCUGGUUUCUUAUGAUCCGAAGUGCAGAACAUUUAACGAGUUUGUAUUUAAGGGGACACCAAAUUGGUUUCAAACGAUUGUACAUCAGGGAAGUUUCAAUUGGAUUGAUACACCACAUGAUUUGUAAACUGCAGAAGAAAGGUAUUCACAAGCGCUGCUUCUCUUCCUGUGAGUUUAUACCCUACUGAAAUAAAAUUAUGUUACAAAAUUUCUUUUGUAUUGUCUUAUAACAAGUUAUGACUUGCUAUGAAGCCUUAUUGUUAAUGUUACACACAUGCUGUUAGUGUUUGCAAAUUUUUUUUGAAGUAUCUGGCUAUGUAAAGAGACAAAUUAAAGAUUAGUGGAAAUGAAAUAAUGCCUUACUUCUGUGUAAAAUUUCUGUAUAAACUUACUGUCCUAGUGAAGCAAUUUGUAAUCUUCAUUUCAAAAGUAUACCUUGGCAUGAGAUCACAUCCUAAUUCUAUUAUGGACUUCUUCAGGUUACUGCACUCUGAACUAGUUUCUAAACGACUCACUGUGUCCUCAUAAAUUGCUUUUUGAAGAUGAAAUGAGUUGGUCACUAACUCGAUUGAUGGAUUUCUUGAUCAGUAUUGUUUUUUGAAGAUCUCUACCAGUCGCCAAUGAUUCAUUGCCUAUGUCUAGCUGAAAUUAUGAAGUCAUGUACUACAAUUUCUAAUUCUAUUUCUAUUACUUGCUUCUAGGUGCCACUGCUGAUACCUUUUCAUCCUGAAGCUACAGGGACCUAAGAUUAUCCGCCCCCAGUUCUAGAGGUCUCUCUUGGGCUGCAAAACUGCCACCGCAAGGACUAAUAUUAUAUAAAGGCUUUGGCUAAGUUACGUUAAACGUAACUUACGCCAGAUACAGCAACAGUGCUAGUGAUGGGACUUGUCACUGUUGCUGUGCCUGGCGUAAGUUACGUUUAACGUAACUUAGCCAAAGCCUUUAUAUAAUAUUAGUCCUUGCGGUGGCAGUUUUGCAGCCCAAGAGAGACCUCUAGAACUGGGGGCGGAUAAUCUUAGGUCCCUGUAGCUUCAGGAUGAAAAGGUAUCAGCAGUGGCACCUAGAAGCAAGUAAUAGAAAUAGAAUUAGAAAUUGUAGUACAUGACUUCAUAAUUUCAGCUAGACAUAGGCAAUGAAUCAUUGGCGACUGGUAGAGAUCUUCAAAAAACAAUACUGAUCAAGAAAUCCAUCAAUCGAGUUAGUGACCAACUCAUUUCAUCUUCAAAAAGCAAUUUAUGAGGACACAGUGAGUCGUUUAGAAAAUAAAACUGAAGGCAAAGUCCAAAAGAGCCGCUCAUCAUGCUUUCCCACCAAACGAUUGUGGAAGUUUUCUUAAAAGUCAGCCACCAAAAGAGACUCUAUGCCUAGAGGCCGAUUUAUUUAAUCUUGUUCUCUUGAAAGAGUUGCAAACUGAACAAAAAAACCGUCAUUUUAAUAUUGAGCUUGCACUGUAUACGAUGAUUGCCUACUGCCACUAUGUUUCUUACUUCAAGAAAUAACGGCUCGUCAAGAACAGAUGCUUUCCCACUCUUUUAUCCCCAUUUUCCUGUUGCUAAUCUAACCCUAGUAAAGUUCUCAACUAGAGAGCUUCACACGUUGCAGAACUUUCAUCUUUAUUAAAUCGACUGAUAAAAAAGAAACAAUCGAACAUCUUUCAUUCAGCAUCUCAUCAUGACUUAUCCCAGUCCCCCUUUAUCUCUCUGCAAGCAUGAAUGUUUAACCUACCAUGCUUUUUUCCAAAGUCUAAAGACUAAAAUCUUGUGUGCAAUACCUUGCAUCUCGCUUAUGGGAUGGUAUGGUUGCGUGUGUGUGUGUAAACAAAGAGUGAAGAAUCAAAGCAAGACUUUUGAGUUUUGACUUAAAGUACUGUUUCGGUUUACAAGGCUUGUCACAAAGAAAGCAAAACACUUAAGCCAGAACACAGAUCAAGCAGGCAUCACUAUUUUCUUUUAUUUCAACGCUCAUACAAAUUUCUCCAUAGUUUUUUUGUGAGUAGACUUCAAGAGCUCUUGCUCUGCGUAUACUUAUUAUUUGGGGGUGAUUAAAUCACACAAACCGCCUACUCUUUUAAGGAUUCAAUUGUUCAUUGUGAAAGAACAAAGUUACAUGGUAUGAAUGAAGAUAUAUGAUUUUCUGGAGCACGGAAAUAGAGCAUAAUGCUCGUUAAAGAACACAACAAUACGUUGAAAAUUAACAAGCCAGGUAGCUUGGACGUGUAAGGUCAAAUUGCUUGUACAACAUACGGAUACAAAGUAUUCUUUUACUGAUUUAUGUAAAGAAUGUUGCUCAUUCAUAUAUUUGCUAAUAAAAAUAACAAAAGAGAUACUUAUGGUCACAAUGAGAACAUUGAAUAGAUGGCUUUAACUCUGGCCAGCAACACUUCUUAGGUGCUCUAACACAAGCUUUCUUCCGGUGAGACGCUCAACCAAUCCUUCCGAACAAAAUAUAGAUGAAUUAUUCACUCCCAAGCGACUCUCAAAUUUAUUGCAAAUGUUUAAAAACGGUGUGUGGAUGGAUGUGCGAAUGUAUGUACGUGUAAGUUGAGUGUAUUUGAAGGAACAUAGAGAGCCUAUUACCAUUAGUGUAGUCCCGACAAUCAUGUUGGCCGAUCCUCAAAUGAGUUUCCCAGCUCUUAUUGAAGUUGAUUGCAACAUCAACCGCGUCCAAUUUGGAAGAUCCAACGAACCAACAUUUAUUUCUUGGCAGUUUUGUCAAUUUCCUCACCAGCACGGAACCUAAAGAAGUUCCAAGGUUUAGGUGCCUAACGUGUAACGAUUAAGAGAAAAUAACCCAUAAUAUCAAUCAAUGAAACAUCGGAUGCCCAAUUCAAAAAGCCAAUCCCAGACAAACAAUACGGUUUCCGUUCCUUUAAAGUCACACACGAAAAGACAUUCUACAUAAGAUAGCUAAAGAUGAUUCAUAAUUGAGGGUUAAUAUGUUGGAACUUCUGUGUUCUUACCGGGUACUGAUCUACCAGAUAGAACUUCAAGGGCCGUAUAAAUAUUUUCAGGAUCUUUCGGUUGAAAAUCACAAACAAAGACCUGCAAAAAGCUAACAUUUACAGUGAUUAAUAAAUGGUUAAUUACUUAAUUUAACAAAACGAUCAAUUUAAAAAAUAUAUAUAAAAUAAUUAAAUUGAAGUGACCUGGGAGUGGGUAGGAGGAGAAAAGGGUUUGAUGACGACCAUGAAGUGCUGCAAAUCCCAUACAUUGAGGGUGUAGGCUGAAGACAUAAGCAACUGGGCAGGUCCUUUUGUGGCUCUUAAUGGCACUGCUGCCACGUACACUUCAUCUCUGCCUCUUGUUGCUGCUGCCGAAUUUGCAAAUACAGAAGCCAUUUGUGCUUUUCGUUCAAAACAGAACCGUUAAAAAGUAGUUAAAUACCGGAAAGGAUACUGUAGCGAUAAAAUUAUGAUCAGCGCAGCGAGUAUUCGUUUGAAUGGGCCUUAUAGCCCCUCUUGGUCCACUCAUACUAAACUGUGUAACCCAUUAAAAUUUGUUAUAAAUUAACCCAAAUAAUUUAAAUUUCUUUUUAUGAAAUUUAUUUAACUUACUACUCAUGUCAUGAAUAUUUCUUUCAUGAAGCACAAAAUGAGAAGUUCAAUCGCUCACAAUGUGCCCAUCGUAAAAUAUCUCUAACAUGUGUAAUGUAUGAAAUAAAUCGAUGAAAACAUAAAAAAAAUAUUUGUAUUCCGACCCUCCUUUGCCAAUUUUUAUUUUAUUUUAUUUUACCUUCACUAAUAAGUUGUUCGUAUUUUUUUAUGCCAAUAAUGUUAAGAUAUUGGAGGAUACUAAAUGUAAAUUAAUUCAAGAGUGAAACUAUUUGAACUCAUCAAAUUACUUAUUAAAUCUAUUUAAUCCUUACAUUCAAUACGAAAAUAGUAUUUUCACAUUUUACUCAGAUGUUUCCUAAAUUAUUCUUUAAUUUAUUAUAAAUCUCUAAUUUUCAAUUUAAACUUGCUUGUAAUGUUCUUCCACAUUAACUAGAACCGACUCCUUUUUCUCCAUCUUCCUUGCCAACCAUAAACUAUUUUCUACUGUUGACAAACUUGGCCUUUGCAGGAAAAAAAUCAAUUGAUACUUUAGUUUUUUAAUUUUGGUAGAUUCCAAAGAACUAUUUAUCAAAAAGAACUAGCCUUUAAAUUCUAAAGUUUCAAUUUGAAUGAGAGACUAAUUUUAUUUAGAUUAUAAAUAUUAAUAAAUCUCAUGUAUUUAAUAGUAAUUUAAUCAAAGUAUACCAUUGUAAUAUAAAAUUUAUUUUAUUUUAAAAAAAUAAAUUUGACCUUCGCUAUCUCUAAAAAUAGUCGUGAUUGAAUCUUAUUGCAGUAGCAUUUAAAACUUUGAUAUACAUUCUUUGUAAUACUCUUUGAUUUGAAUUCUAUUGUAGUGGCAUUUAAAGCUUUGAUUUACACUCUUUGUAUUUUGAUAUAAAAUAUGGUGUAUUGGAUCAAUAAUCAAUAAUGAAAUUCGAUGACAUAUAUAGCAAAUCCCCCACAUUUUCUCAGCAUUGUAGUAUCUAGGCCUCUUUCCCUCCCUGUUAACGUCUUCACUCUCACCCUCCACAGGCACAAGAAGUAAAUAACCAAAAGCACCUAAGCAGAGACCGUCUCUGCUUUCCGGCUAUCGUCCUUUUUAAAACCAGCGAAUGUAUAAUGAUAAAUAUCAAGUUUUAUGUGCCUAAUAGGCCGUCUUGGUUCAAUCGAACUGUGUGUAACCAUUAAAAUUUUUUAAAAGUUAACCAAGUAAUUUAAAUUGCUUUUUAUGAAAUUUAAUUCAGCACUAUUUCUCGUAUCAUGUGAAGCACAAAACUGAUGAGAGAUUCAAUCUCUGGCCAUUAUAAAGUGAAUAACAUGUGUAAUGUAUAAAGAAAUCGAUUAUAUAUAUAUAUAUAUAAGGUCCUUGUCCUUUCCACCAUUUUUUUAUUUUGUUCAAAUAAUAUUUGUUAAAAUAUUCGAGGCAUUAAAAAAAAAUUAGACUGUACCAUCAUUCUCACUCAGAUCAAAAGUGCAAUUUCACCAACAUCGGGUGAUGUAAUUUAAAUUCGAACUAAAACUCUCUCUUAAUAUGAUUUUUUUCUGAGCAAAUUUUAUGAAUUGACCAAAGGUUCAUAAAUGAAAAAAUAAAAAUAAUUAAAUUUUAAUCAUACACUAGUACAGUAGUAGUAGCACUAAUAUACAAGUUGCACAAAAUAUAUAAAAAAGUCAAAAGAAGAUUAGAUCAGGAGAGAAUCCUGAUCCUUUAAAUCCAGCUGUAUAAAACGACAUUUAACUUUUACAAUAUUAACCCUCAUCAUCUCUUAAGAUACCGCUUAUUUGAGUUCAUUUUUCAGGCAUCUUGGUUUUUGAUUAUACAUAGUUAAUCAUAUACGUAAACUAUUAGAUAAGAAUGAGAUUGUUGGAGUUGAAUCACCAGAUUGGUGGAGUUAAAUUGGAUUUCUUGUGUUAAUUUAUUAACCUAUAAGUGUGUGUGUGUGUAUAUAUAUUGGAGUCACUGCAACUUGCACUCUCGAUGGCAUAGGAGAGUGUUUGGGACAACUGCGCUAUAGCAGCGCAGCGAGUUUCCACCCUAUAUUUUAGAAAAUAUUCCCUAAGAAUAUGGUACGGAGAGCAGCUGCGCGGUGGUACCGCAGCUGGUCCAAACGCACUAACAGUCUCACUGCAUUCAUCAUAGCUUAAAGACUAACAGAAUGAAAUUCUUAAAACAGAAGGGGCAAAAACAUUAUAGAAAAUAUAUAUAAAAAAGUGUUUCCAUUAGUGCUUAUGUUCUUCACAAAUAUCGAUCAAUAAGUACGACCCAUCAUCCUUAUUGUUUUUUUGCUCGGAUAAAAAAGACAAACUAAUUAAUUAAUACUAAACUAUUUUCCAAUAUUAGCUUGAAAGACCAACCCUUGGUUAUACAGCCAUAUUUUGUUAAUUGGCAUCGAUCAUCACGAUCAUAUAACACCAUUUUGGAACAAAAUAUAUGUUAUGACACACUACAUAUAUAUAAUUUUAUUAUUAAGCAAAACAACUGAUAUAUAUUAUUAUUACUGAUUCACCAAGCCAAGUAGCCAACAACAUACUUGAGCUUCUAUUUAUAACAUACAAGCAAACAGUACAUAAUACACAAAUUUCAAGAACCCACCACUUGGCACCAACAACCCAAUUCCUCAUAGCACGUACCGAAAUUUCACCAUUAAGCUCAGACCAUGCUUUUUCUUUGAAUCAAUUCACUGAUCAUGGAUGUCAUGAUGAUCAGCUAUGUGGAGUUGCAAUUAAUGGUAGAUCCAAAAGUGGGGUCGUUUGCAGAUACCAAGACUCAAACAAAAUCCCUUAUUGUUACCGAAUACUAAAAUAUUUGAAACCACUGAACUAAAUUAACUUGGACGUGCAAAUUGGCCAUCAUUAGUUCUUACAAUAUUAUUACUCAGUCUUCUCAGCUGGGGCUUCAUCAGUGUCAGCUUUCUUCUCAGCUUCAGCUGGCUUCUCAACUGCAGGUUUCUCUUCAUCUUUCACUUCCUCCUUUGCAGCUUCAACUUCUGCCUCUGGCUUCUUCUCUUCUUCCUUGGCCUCUUUCUCAGCAGCUGGCUCUGGUGUCUCCGUUGGAGUAGUUUCCACUUCUUCAGUUUUCUCUGCGGUAGUCUUCUCCGCUGCUGCUGGCUGAUCUUCGGCUACCACCUCCUUUGUCUCAACUUCAGCUGGGGCUUCAGCUUCUGGAGUAACCACCGCUGCUUCUUCAGUUACAGCAACAGCUUCUGCUUCCUUUGCUGCUGGUGGCUCUUCAGCAACGGGUUCUGGUGCCACAGGUGCUGCAGAAGCUGAAGCAACUACCUCCUCUGUUUUAGUUUCUUCAGUCUUGACUGGUUCAUCAGCUGUUUUAGUUUCUUCAGCCUUGACUGGCUCCUCAGCUUUGAUCUCCUCGGAAAGAGCAGUCUUUGCUGACACAACCUGC
rnacentral:lncRNA from 1 species